GGCCCCAUACUUUUCCAAUUCCAUGAAUGAGAUCGGAAAUGCACAUCUACCCACUUCUUCGUCCCCCACACUUUGGUUUCCCCUUUUAAUGGAACAACUCCAAUUAAUUGAGGUAUAUGCAAGCUUUCAAAAAAUGGGUAUAUGUUAAUUUAGAUAUGCCAAUCCAAUGGCCCAAAAUGAACUUGUAAUCUAGCUGUACUUUUUCUCCAUUAUAAGGCACUAAAAUGAAUUCCAUGAUUAAGAUUUUGUUACAUGUUUUGGUUUGGAUCCAAUUACCCAUUUGGACCCAAAACCCUAAUAUGUGUUAUUUUCCUAGAUGAUGAAUCUCACUUCAUUAGGGUUUCAUAUGUAAACAAGUAGCUGAUCAAAAACUACCACAGUCAAAAAGUGGAACUCGAUCUUCACAUAUAAAAAUUUAAUACUAAAUCCACUCAUUGUUGCUUUUAGUCAUAAUUCCUACAGAAAAAUUAGAGCAAGCUAUUAUGAAAAAUUAUGAAUGAAGAUAUGAGAAAUAUUAUAUUAUUUAAUUGUUAUAAAAUUUAUCUUAAUCAGGUCUUUUCCUAUUGCAAAAUAAAUAAACAAAUAAAUAGAGUUUUUUUAAUUGCUAUAAUAUAUUUAUUUGUAAGUCUAAAAGUGAACUCAUUGGGAGCUCUAAACCUACUAGUGUGAACAAUUGGAUUACUUAAUUUGGUGAUAGCUCAUUCAUUUAUUUUUUUAAUUGAUUUUUAAAUUUAUUCAUUUCUUUCUUUAUUGGUCUUAUCUCUUGGAAAAUGAUGUUGGACAUCUGGGGCAACCUUCCUAGAAAUUGUAGUGUAUUUUAUAAUCUCAUACACCAAUAGUGAUAUUUCUUGGAAAAUGUGGCUUCUUUUCUUCUUCUUUUUUUCUUUUUUUUCAAUUAAUCACAAAGGUGAUCCAAUGGUCACGCCUUUAGUUGUUUAGAAACCAAACUUUGGUUCCACAUUGCCCUUGGCUUUUAGUCCAAGUAGUAGGUGGUAGCCACAGCCAUAUAUGAUAGUGUUUUCCACUCCCAAGAUUCCAUGAUAUCCCUCUGGUUAUCUAUUCUUAAUCCUAGUAACAAAUAUUGUUAUGAGCAUAUGGUUCUACACCUCAUGCUCAUAUACUUUAUUGAAUUUAACGUGAUUGUCGAAUAAAGGUGCGACAAGUCCAUAUUUUUUUUUAUAAAAAACAAAUGAUUACGAAGACUCUUAUAACAAAAAAAGUUAGAAAAUUUUUAUAAUCCCUAUAAUUUUGUACAUAUCUAAUCCUUAAGAUUAUGAUCAAUCAAGAUUAACAUAAUCAUCAAUGGGUGAGUCAGCUGAAUUUUACUCAUUUACCACUUUGAUUAUUAAUUAUUAAAAGAUUAUAAAUCAAUUUACUCUACCCUUUCUCGCUAUUCUAAGAUUACAUCCGCAUUCAUGAAGGAAGAAAAAAAACAAAGUUGGUGCUCCUUUUAACUUAAAAACCCCAUGAUUAACAAGCAUUGGACAUUGUGCUCAUUUGACCUAGAUGUACCAAUCUAAUGGUUGAAAAUCAAUUUAAUCAAUGCUUCUUAUUAUUUCAUAUCUAACUUAUAUAUUUGUACAUCCUUCCCUAAAAUAUAAACAAUCAUAAAUCACUCAUAAUAAAAGAGUGUAAAAAUCUAUAUAGAUGAUAAAUUGUUGCAUGUGGAUAAUGUUAGGUUCAAUUUAAGUUGAACUCUCAAGGCUUGAACUCACGCCAACUAUGCAAAUUUAGAUGGAAUUAGGACUUUUUAAGUCCAAUUUAAAUUCAAUUGUCUUGAUUCUAUUUAUUUAUUGAUCAUACUCUGAUAUGAUUUGUUUCAUAUUAAAUGUCAGAUUUUUUUUCUUGCCUGUUAGGUCCAACUAGGAGGUGGAGUCACUGCUAAGGUCCUCUCCUUCUCUCUCUCUCUCUCUCUCUCUCUCUCUCUCUCUCUCUCUCUCUCUCUCUCUCUCUCUCUCUCCAUCCAUAAACCUUUGAUUGAUUAAAAAUAUACAAAACAAUAAUGGUGUUCCCCACUAUCCAAAGAUAUCUCUUUGGAACAAACAUGUAUUCAACAAUUAUACAAAACAAUAAUUGUUUCCAUUUCAUAUUUAAUUCAUGCAUGUUAUAUAUAUUGAAGAUUCUAAAAUAAAGACCAGGCAUUUCCAAUAAAGACUAUAUUGCAGUGCAUUUCAUAUACAUGAAACAAAAACUACUCUCUUUUACCUUCUACUUGAUUUCUCUCAUUCACCACCCACUUCUCUUCUCUUUGUGAAGUUUCUACUUGAUUUCUCUCAAUUCACCCACUUCUCUUCUCUUUUGCCAAGCUUCUACUCGAUUUCUCUCAAUUCACCCACUUCUCUUCUCUUUGCUAAGCUUCUACUUGAUUUCUCAUUCACCCACUUCUCUUCUCUUUGUGAAGCUUCUACUUGAUUUCUCUCAUUCACCCACUUCUCUUCUCUUUGUGAUACUUCUACUUGAUUUAUCUCAAUUCACCCACUUCUCUUCUCUUUGCGAAGCUUCUACUUGAUUUCUCUCAUUCACCCACUUCUCUUCUCUUUGCGAAGCAAAGACAUGGCUCUAGUUGGAGAGGCAUUGCUCACAGCUUCUAUUCAAGUUUUGUUGGAAAAGAUGGCUUCUCCCGAGGUCCUGAGCUUCUUCGGGGGACAGAAACUCAAUGCUGCACUCUUGAAUAAGUUGAAGAUCACAUUGCUCACUGUCCAUGCAGUCCUCAAUGAUGCGGAGGUGAAGCAGAGUGAGAAUCCAGCAAUCAAAGAGUGGCUCCACGAACUUAAAGAUGCUGCCUACGACGCGGAGGACUUGUUAGAAGAGAUUGCUACAGAAGCUCUUCGGUGCACGAAGGAGUCUGACUCCCAAACUAGUGGAACUCUGGUAUGGAACGCCAUCUCGACCUCUCUUAAUCCAUUUGGUGACGGGGUGGAGUCCAGGGUUGAGGAGAUAUUUGAUAGAUUAGAAUUUCUUGCUCAAAAAAAAGAUGCUCUUGGGUUGAAAGAAGUUGUUGGUAAGAAACUAGCAAAAAGAUGGCCGUCCACUUCUGUGGUGGAUGAAUCUGGUAUUUAUGGCAGGGAGGGUAGUAAAGAGGAGAUAAUUGACAUGUUGCUCUCAGACAAUGCAAGUGGCCAUGUCAAAACUGUGAUAGCUAUAGUUGGCAUGGGCGGCAUUGGGAAGACCGCCCUAGCACAACUUUUGUAUAAUGAUGAAAGGGUAAAAUCAUAUUUUGAUAUGAAAGCUUGGGUCUGUGUAUCUGAAGAAUUUGAUCUUUUCAAGAUAACGAAAACAAUUCUUGAGGCCAUUAAUGGAGCCGCUUUUAGUUGUACUCGUGAUGUAAAUGACUUGAAUCUGCUUCAAGUGGAGCUAAGAGAGUCCCUUAUUGGGAGGAAAAUUCUAAUAGUUCUGGAUGACGUCUGGAAUGAGAGCUACAAUAACUGGGACAUGCUACAAACUCCGCUUAAAGUUGGAGCAAGUGAUAGUAAGUUUAUUGUAACCACACGCAAUGCAAAUGUUGCAUUAACCAUGCGUGCGCAUCACACUCAUCAUCUCGAGCAACUAUGCUUUGAAGAUAGUUGGCGGCUAUUCACAAAACAUGCAUUUGAAAAUGAAGAUCCUGGUGCACAUCCAAAACUGGAGGCCAUUGCAAAAGAAAUCGUGCAAAAGUGCCAGGGCUUGCCUUUGUCCAUCAAAACACUUGGGGGUCUUUUGCACUAUAAGAUGGAUGAAAAAGAAUGGGAUAACAUAUUGAGGAGUGAAAUGUGGGAUUUGCCGAGUGAUGAACUUCUUCCAACUCUGCGGUUAAGCUAUUAUCAUCUCCCCUCAAAUUUGAAGCGAUGCUUCGCGUAUUGUGCAAUUUUUCCUAAGGGCUAUCAGUUCCGAAAGAGGGGGUUGAUUUUAUCGUGGAUGGCAGAAGGUUUUCUGCAACAACCAAAAAGCAAGAAAAGAAUGGAAGAGAUAGGGGACUGGUACUUUCAUGAAUUAUUGACAAGGUCAUUUUUUCAUAAAUCGAGUAGCAGAGACUCGUGUUUUGAAAUGCAUGACCUUAUAAAUGACAUGGCUCAACAUGUAUCUGGAGAUUUUUGUACUCGAUGUUCGGAAGAUAAGAUGAAUGAUGUGUAUAAGAAGACUCGCCACUUCUCAUACCUUGUAAGUGAAUAUGAUUCCUUUGAAAAAUUUGAGACUCUUGUUGAAGUUAAAUGUCUCAGAACCUUCUUCAAAUUGCAACCACUAUUCAUGCAGUCUUGCUUAAGUAAUAGGGUUUUACAUGAUGUGAUACCAAAUAUUAGAUGCCUCCGUGUUUUGUCCUUGUGUGGUUAUUGGAUUGUUGAUUUGCCUGAUUCAAUGGGCAAUUUAAAAUGUUUACGUCUUUUGAACCUUUCUCACACACCUAUCAAAAGGUUACCAGAAUCAGUGUGUAGUUUGUAUAAUUUACAAAUAAUUCUACUCUCUAAUUGUCGUUGUCUCUGUGAGUUGCCUCGUGGAUUGACGAAAUUGAUUAACCUACGUUAUCUUCGUAUUCGUGAUUCUGGAAUAAAAGAGAUGCCUGAUCAUAUUGGUCAAUUGAGAAAUUUACAAGAAUUGAGCAGAUUUAUUGUGGGUCAAACAAGUGGUCGUAGGAUUGGAGAGCUCAGGGGGCUUUCAGAAAUUAGAGGGAGGCUACACAUUUCAGAACUCCAGAAUGUGGUUUGUGGUAUGGAUGCCUUAGAGGCAAAUUUGAAGGAUAAGAAGUAUGUUGAUGAUUUGGUGCUGGAGUGGAAGAGCAACUCUGAUGUUCUACAAAAUGGAAUUGACAUAGUCAACAACUUGCAACCGCAUGAAAAUGUCCAGAGGCUUACCGUUGACUCCUACGGGGGUACAAGAUUCCCCGAUUGGUUAGGAGAUCAUUUGUUCUUAAAUAUGGUGUUCCUAAAUCUCAAGAAUUGUCAACAUUGCUCUUCUUUGCCGUCACUCGGCCAGCUGUCCUCGCUUAAGGACCUUUAUAUCUCAGGGGUGCAUGGCAUAGAGAGAGUUGGUACUGAUUUCUAUGUCAAUAAUUCUUCCUCAGUAAAGCCCUUCACAUCCCUGGAAACUCUCGUUAUUGAGAAGAUGAGACAGUGGAAGGAAUGGGUAUCUUUCGGAGGAGGCGAAGGUGGAGCAUUCCCUCAUCUGCAGGUGCUCUGCAUAAGGCACUGCCCCAACCUCACUGGAGAAGUACCCUGCCAACUUCCUUCCUUGACGAAACUUGAGAUUUGUGGAUGUCAGCAGCUUGUGGCUUCAGUUGCAAGGGUUUCAGCCAUUCGAGAAUUGAAGAUACUCAAUUGUGGUCAGGUUCUGUUUGGAAGCCCGCCUUAUGACUUCACUCAUCUUCAAACUUUAGAAAUUGAAAUUUCAGACAUCUCACAGUGGAAGGAACUACCUCAGGGAUUGCGGGGGCUCACAAUUCUAAAAUGCUUCUCUGUGGAGUCUCUACUAGAGGGAAUAAUGCAAAACAACAGUUGUCUUCAACACUUGACUCUCAAAUGUUGUUGCCUUUCCAGAUCCUUGUGCAGAUGUUGUUUACCCACUGCAUUGAAAUCAAUAAGCAUAAGUAGGUGUAGGAGACUACAUUUCCUCCUGCCUGAGUUCCUAAAAUGCCACCAUCCCUUCCUUGAACGAUUGUGUAUUGAAGGUGGUUACUGUAGAUCUAUCUCAGCCUUCUCAUUUGGCAUCUUCCCUAAGUUGACUCGUCUUGAAAUCAAUGGUAUUGAGGGGCUUGAAUCCCUCUCCAUUUCGACUUCAGAGGGAUCUCUCCCAGCUCUUGAUAUUCUAAAAAUCCAUAACUGCCACGAUCUCGUAUCUAUUGAGUUUCCAACUUUCGAGUUGACACACUAUGAGAGCAUUCAUUGCAGGAAGCUCAAGUCGUUGAUGUGCUCCCUCGGCUCUUUUGAGAAACUAAUUUUACGAGACUGUCCCCUAUUGUUGUUUCCAGUUCGAGGUUCUGUGUCCAGCAUAAAUUCACUUAGAAUUGACGAGUGCGACAAACUCACACCCCAGGUGGAGUGGGGCUUGCAAGGGCUGGCUUCUCUUGCACAAUUCAGCAUUAGAUGUGGAUGCCAAGACUUGGUGUCGUUUCCAAAGGAAGGCCUGCUGCCCUCAACUCUCACCUCUCUUGUAAUUGAAAGUCUUCCAAAUCUCAAGUCUCUGGAUGGCAAGGGGCUUCAACUGCUUACCUCUCUUCAAAAAUUACACAUCGAUGAUUGUCAGAAUCUUCAAUCCCUGCCAAAAGAGGGGCUUCCCAUCUCCAUUUCUUUUCUAAAAAUUAGCAACUGUCCCCUGCUGAAAAAUCGAUGCCAAUUCUGGAAAGGGGAAGAUUGGCAGCGUAUAGCUCACAUUCCACGCAUUGUGGUGGACGACCAAGUUCUGUAAUGAAGGUACUUAUUCUGUCCUAUAAAUGAUUUCCUUCAAAAGAAAGUAGGUUGUGAUUGAAGCUUUCUAGUCAUAAUAAUAAUAUCUUGUAUUAUUUGUCACUUUCCUGUGCUGAAAAAAUAUUACACCAAUUUAUGUCAUGGCAGGCCUAAAAGCAUUUUUCUCUGGAAAACUGACAUGCUUAAAUACCAAUUUUAUUUUGAUCCAUAAUAAAUAGGAAAAAUAUUCUUUAAAUUUUCUAAUUAUUAUAACAAUUUCUCGCUUUCUUUCAGAUUAUCUGUAUGUCUUGACUCUGGCACUGAUUCAACAUGUGGUCGUGAGGAAUAUUUUAUGACUCCCUUGCUUAAUUAGCGCCUUGAAAAAAUGAUGCUUAAAAGGCAAGCAGCUCUUCAGGUCUGAUUUCGUAAAAUGAGUAAUUUUGUGGACAUUGAGUUUGUUUUCACUGGCUAAUUUGUUGAACUGUCAUGGCAGGCCUUCGAUCCUAGUUUUCUCAACAAAUUCAAGCUGCCUAGAAAUGAUCCUUCCAAUGGGACCAUUUUUUGCUGUGAGUUCAGAGUCAUGAUUCUCUUUCUGGAAGAAAGUGGCAGAGAUUUUUUUCCCAUCCCAAGACUCAUGAGUUGAUACUCCCCUCGAGGAACUACAGAAAGCUUGACUCUGUUGGAGAGUAAAGUAUGUGGCAUGCUCUAUGAUUCCAAUUAGUAAGACAUUUCAAUUGCUUUGGUUUACCUUUCUCAGCUACAAAUUACAAUAUUCAUAAUCUCAUAUGCAUUAAUUCUUCAGGUUCUGAGGCUGCAUCUGUGUUGAUAUCUUAGUUCUUCUCUAGAAACAACAGGUAUAUUUUGAUUCGUACUUUUCAUAAGCUGACACAUUGUGGAGUUCCAUGAUUUUCAAAACGAGAUAAACCUAAUACUAAAUUAUACUGAAGCUAAAACAAAAAUCUUACUGCCUGAGGUUAUGUCUUUGAUGAAUUUUAUUCACUAUGUUCAUACAGCCUCCCGGUGACCUAGACUUUAGCAUGUGCCUUAGUGCACACAUUGUUUUCAUCUCUUUCAGCUUUAAUUGAUCUGCAGAUGUUCAGUGUAGGCACCGCUCAUCUCCUACUCAUUUACAUGAUUGCCAUGGACCUUUGUGCUUUACUUUGUUAAUGGUAAGGUAAUCAUAAUAGUACUACAUUAGUUGAGCAUGGCUGCAACCAUUUUCAUAUUCAGGCUUUUCUUGUGCUUACAAAUGAUAAUGUGAGCUUGAAUUUUCUGUUUUUAAAUUUGUGAUUCUGAGGCAGAUAUUUGGAGAAAAGAGAAGGCAAACCAUAUUCAAAGUCAUAGCACUGCAGAGUAUGCUUUUGUUCCACCAAGUCCAAGUCAAUUGAGUUGAAUCUUAUUAAUACUUCUAGGACACAGGUUCAAAUCAGUUGAUUUUCCAAACCUGAUGACAGCAUCAAAUUCUGCUGAUUACCAUGUGACCAUUUUUAUUUUCAGAUGGUGGUAUUUUGAAUCUUCAGAGCAGUUCCAGGAGGAAGCUUUGCCAAAGCUUCCCUGUGCAAUAUAUGGGCCUUGGUUGCAAGUGAGAUUUGAGGAUUUUAUUUUAUCUUGGAAGACCUCAACCGAUUGUUUUGAGUUUUGAGCUUUGAUCUUUUACUUCCAAGUAUGUGCAAAGAAGAAAGAAAGCAACAACAAAGAUUGGUUUGCCGAAGUUUUAUAUGGAAUGAGACCCCAAUGAAAAAAAUUGUAAUUAUUGGUUUUUCAGCCUUGAACAGUAUAGUUUUGUUUCCCAUUUUGUUCUUUGAGCAAUGUAUUUGUAGAAUCAUACAUUUUGAAGUUACUACUGAUUUUGUGUAUAUACAUACAUAUAAAUGAUGUUCUCUUCUUCAUUCAUAUGGCAUUUGCUUCUUUGGUAUAUGCCGAAAAGUUACAAGUUUGCUCUAGGGUUUUACUUGAAGUGAGGUUAGAUAUGGUUUUUUUUUUUUUUUUUUUGGUGCAUAUAAGAGUUUACAUCAUAGGCAAAUCACUUCCAAUCCAGCCUCUUUUAACAUUUUUGGUUCCUUUCAUCCUCCUCAAUGUGACUUUGGUGCAAGUUGUCUUGAUAUAAAUGUUUGGAGUUUAAGCUUUUGGGUCAAUUUAAUCUUUAACUCAGCAUCAAAGUCUUUGUUUUCAAGAUUUCCUGGUGCUCAUAAGAUGUUUAAAUUGAUACCCAAGUGGAAUUCUAGGACAAAUAUAUAUAUAUAUAUAUAUAUAUAUAUAUAUAUAUAUGUAAAUCAAAAAAGAAAAAGAAAACAUAUAUACCAAGUAUCAAGUAUCAGCGCACUUCAAAUGAUUUUCUAAAUUUUUAAUUUUUUUUUUCAAAUACUUAACUUUAAAAAAAAUUAAAUAAAUAACACUUUAAAAAGUGCUUUUAAUUCUAAUAGAAUCACUUUUAAACGAAUUUGGAUAUAAAUCAAACAAGUUGAUAUUUAGUGCAUCUAAGGCCCUUUCAGUAAUGUUUUUAAAAAUAAUUCUUUUACAGCUUUUGAAAAUAGUUUUUAAAAACGGUUCAUAAUUAUUUUUAGUAUAAAAAACAGUUUUAUUAGUUUAUUAUUCAUAAAGAUAUCAUAUACUUAUCUACUAUGUAAAAGUUUUUAUUACCAAUUCAUGAAUAAGAUCAUAAACCCAUCCACAUUUACCCACUUUUCCAUUCCCCACCCAUGGAGAAGAAGAAAAAGGAAAAUUUUGGGUUCCCCAUGGAACAACACCAAAUUGAGGUAUAUGCAUGGAUGAAAAUUUCGCUAAAUAUUGAUAUAUUGCAUAUCGGGGGAUAUGGAAAUAUCGACUAGGCAAAAUUUCAGGAAAAAUCGCUGAAAAUCGCCAAUAUUUCCCUAUAUAUUGGUGAUUUGGUGAUAUUUCGCCGAUUUUCCCAAUUUUUUCAAGUGGUCAAUGCUGGUCAACACGCGUUACAGUAAAAGCUUAAACUUGUUGUUGAGGGGACUUGAACCCCAAACAAAAGGCUUAAAUUUGCUAUUGAAGGGACUUGAACCCCAAACAAAAGGCUUACCUGAAGCUUGGCCUACCCUUGUUUAAUAUAUUGCACCAAACAUGUUUAUAUUGAAAUUCAUCAAAUAAAAAAAAAUAUUAAAAGAAUAUUUUAGAGAACAAAAUAAUUAUAAUUAUUUUAUAAUUAAAUAAAAAAUUUCAUUUAAUUGAUUACCCAAAAUAUAAAAGUUAUCAUGAUAAUUUUCUUCAUAACGUUUUUAAUAUCAUUAAUAGAUUAAUUAAAUAUUAAAAAAUUAUAUAUAUAUUCUAUAUCAUUUAAUAAAAUGAAUCAUAAUUUUAAUGAUAAAUAUAUUUUAAAAUUAAACAUAUUAUAAUCAAUAUCACAAUAUUAUUAUGAUAUAAUAUUUGAUGUAAUUUAAUAAUAAAUAUACACUUAUAAAAUUCAUAUAUUUUUAUCAAUACAUAGAAUAUUAUUAUCAAAUAUGAUAAAUCAUAUUAUGCAUGCAUCAAAUUCUUCAACAAAACAACUUUAAAAUAUCUAUUAUAUUUCUAAUUAUAUUUGUAUAAGGUUUUUCUUACAUUUCUAUGAAUUUUGAUCAAUUUUAGGUCUACCGAUAUUUUUUUCCAAUAUAUCUAUAAAAUCGAAGUACCGAUAUAUUCGUGAUUAUUGAUAUUUUCAUCCUUGGAUAUAUGCAAGCUUUCAAUGAUGGGUGUGUUAAUUUAGAUCUUUCAAUCCAAUGGCCCAAAAUAAACUUGGAAUCUGGUUGUGUUUUGCUCCAUUAAGGCACUACAAUGAAUUCCAUGAUUAAGAUUUUGUUACAUGUUGUGGUUUGGAUCCAUAUACCCAUUUGGACCCAAAACCCUAAUUUCAGUUAUUUUUUAUGAAAUAUUGAAUCUCACUUCAUUAGGGUUUAAUAUGUAAACAAGUAACUGAUAAAAAAUUACCACAAAGUGACAAAGUAAAACUCUGUAAAAAGGGUCUUCACAUAUGAAAAUUUAAUACUAAAUCCACUUAUUGAUGCUUUUGGUCAUAAUGCCUAUAGAAAACUUAAAAGCGAGCUAGAAUGUAAAAGUAUAAGUGAAGAUGCAAAAAAAUAUAAUAUUUUCUAAUUUUUGUUAAAUCAAUCUAUGGACCCCGCAUUUCGGCUCAUGCGUUUUCCACUCGAUGGCUAGCUCGAUUUUAAUUUGAAAAAUGAUUUUUAUUGAUUAAGAAAAUGACUUGGAGUCGCCACUUAUUUUUGUUUUAUUUUUAAAGGGUAAACAAAAUAAGAAAGAAGAACCCUAAGUGUGACUCCUUAGUUUGGAAAAGGUGGUCUGUGAAAAAUCAGAUCGGGCUCGGGGGUCAGGUUACUUAUCAGGAAGGUUCGGUAAAGACCGUAGCACCCUUCUAAGUCCUAAAGUUGGGUCUCUACUAAUAAAAUGAAGUUGACGUGGCAAUCAAUAGGAAAAUCAAUGGGUACUCAAACCGAUUAAGCGCAUAUGGAAAUCAAAACAUGCAAUAGAGAAUGACCAGAAUAGGAGUAGAUGCAUACCUGGGCCACGAACGAGCAAUGCGCUAUCAUAAAAAUGGGGUUAGUGCACAAUAUAGAGCACGAAACACGUCACAUGCAUCACCAAACGGAAAUUAAAAUUGUUUGAAGGAAAAUUGGAUUUUCGAAAUUCAUUUGAAAAUUGGAGUCUUAGAGGUUAUUUGGAAAUUGGAGUUUUAAAAAUUAUUUGAUGAGAAUUUUAGAAAUUGAAUUUGAAAGAAAUUGGGAUUUUGAGGAAUUAUUAGAAAGUUCGGGAUUUUUAAGGAAAACUAAGUUACGAAAAUUGGGGCUUUGGGAAUUAAAUUUUGAAAGAAAUCAAAAUUGUAAGUUAUUUGAGAAGUAGAGAUUAUGAAAGUCGAUUUAUAUAUAUAAAAAAAAAAAAAAAGUGGCAAUCUUGAAAAUCAUUCAAAGGCAGAAUUUAUAGAAAUAAUGAAUAAAGUAAUAGUGAUAAUGAUAAUAAUAAGUAGCGGGAUAAAUACGGGGAUUGGAGCAUGGGAAAAUGGAAAUUAAGUUUGGAGAUAGGACAAUUGGAAUUUCAGAUAACUAAACUUAGAAAUCGGAAUUUUGAAGAAUUAGACUUUAAUGAUUGAGAUUUUUAAGAGAAAUAAAUAGGUAAAUAUGGGAUAAUGCUACUAAUUAAUCAAAGCGAUAUUGGAACGGAUGACAGUGAAUAGUGAGAUUUGUGAGAUUAAAAAUUAAAUUUUGAAAGAUUGAGAUUUUUAAAAGAUACAAAUAAAUAAAUAUAGAAUAACAUUACUAGUUAAUCAAAAACGAUAUUCGGACGGGUGAAAGGGGAUAGUGAGAUUCGUGAGAUUAAAAAUUAAAUUAGGGAGUCAGGUUUUUGAAGAAUUGGACUUUGAAUAAAUAAAUAAAUAAAUAAAUAUAGGAUGACAAUUCUGCUUAAGGAAAAUAACAUUUAAAUGAAUAAAGAAGAAUAGUGGAAUUUUUAGGGUUGAAAAUUAAGUUAGGACAUCGGAUUUUUGAAGGGUUAGACUUUAAAUAACUAGAUAAAAACGGGAUUGUAAUUCUAAUUGAUGAAAAUAAGACUUAAACGAAUUAUUGAAAAAUUAAGUUAAGGCGGGGGAUUUUCGAAGGAUUAGACUUUAAAUAAGUAAAUGAAUAUGGGAUACUAAUUCUAAUUAAAGAAAAUAACAUUUAGACAAAUAGUAGAAUUUUAGGAUUGAAAAUUAAAUUAUGACAUUGGAUCUUUUUAAAGGAUUGGAUUUUGGAUAAAUAAACUAAUAUAGGAUGAUGAUACUAAUUAACGAAAAUAAUCAUUUAAACCGAAUAAAAUGAAUAGUGGAAUUUUUAGGGGAUUGAAAAUUAAGUUAGGACAUUAGGUUUCUGAAGGAUUGGAUUUUAAAUUAGUAAACCCGUAUAGGAUGAUAAUACUAAUUAACGAAAAUAACAUUUAAACGGAAUAAAAAGAAUAGUGGAAUUUUUAGGGGUUUGAAAAUUAAGUUAGGACAUCGGAUCUCUGAAGGAUUGGAUUUUAAAUUAGUAAACUCGUAUAGAAUGAUAAUACUAAUUAACGAAAAUAACAUUUAAACGGAAUAAAAAGAAUAGUGGAAUCUUUAGGGGUUUGAAAAUUAAGUUAGGACAUCGGAUCUCUGAAGGAUUGGAUUUUAAAUUAGUAAACUCGUAUAGGAUGAUAAUACUAAUUAACGAAAAUAACAUUUAAACGGAAUAAAAAGAAUAGUGGAAUUUUUAGGGGUUUGAAAAUUAAGUUGGGACAUUGAAUUUUUGAAGAGUUGGACCUUAAAUGAAUAAAAAACACAAGGGAUAAGAAUUCUAGUUAACGAAAAUAACAUUUAGGCGAAUAAUAGAAUUUCUAAGGUUGAAAGUUAAAUUGAGAUUUUUGAAAGAUUGGACUUUAAAUAAAUAUGGGAUGAUGAUUCUAAUUGAUAAAAAUGAAAUUUAAACGAAUUGUAGAAUUUUUAGGAUUGAAAAAUUAAAUUAAAAUAUGGAAUGUUCGAAGGAUUAGACUUUAAAUAACUAAAUAAAUACGGGAUUGUAACUCUAAGUGAUGAAAAUAAGAUUGAGUUGAAUUGUAGAGUUUUUAUGAUUUGAAAGAUUAAAUUAAAACAUGGAAUGUUUGAAGGAUUAAACUUUAAAUAACUAGAUAAAUAUAUGAUAAUAAUUCUAAUUGACGUAAAUGAGAUUUAAAUGACUUAUGGAGGGAUUAAAUUAAGACAUGGGAUUUUUAAAAGGGUUAGACUUUAAAUAACUAUAUAUGUAUGAGAUAAUGAUUCUAUUUGAUGAAAAUAAGAUUCAAACGAACUAUUGAAAAAUUAAAUUGAGGCAUAGGAUUUUUGAGGGAUUUAGACUUUAAAUGACUAGGCAAGUAUGGGAUCAUAAUAUUCCAUUUAUAAAAAUAAGAUUUAAGCAAAUAUUUGAAGAAGUAAAUUAAAACAAGGGAUUUGUGAAAGAUUGGUAUAGGGCCCUUCAUCCACACGAACUGGGCCUGGGCUGCAACUCAAAUCCAAGCCCAAAGUCUUCAUGAGUAAGCCCAAUACAAAUAUCCAUCACAAACUUGGGCCUAGUGCCCCAACUCAAGCCCAAGUCCAAAGAUUUCAAUGGGCAAGCCCAAGACACCCAAUGCCUUCACAAACUUGGGCCUUUCAUCUGGGUCCAACCCUCUAAAGCCCAAAUCAACUCUCAUAUCUCUUUGGGCCAUUCAAUCACAUGUUCUUCUCCACUUCAGGUGACGACGACGGAGGAACUGGAGAUGAGAGGCAUCGCCGGGGGCCCUCGAAGCUGGUCCAAGCUGCCAACGCUCCGCGCUGCCUCGCCACAGCGUCGUGCGUGCACACUGUCCCCUUCGUCGCGUCGAACAGUGCACCACCAUUGCCUGCACCGCCACGGAUCUCAACCGGCUGCCUCCCCGCGAUCUCUUCAUUCGAAUUCGCCGAAAACGACGAUGGAACUUUGACGACUUGGCAACUGGCGCGACAGAGACAUGGAUGGGCUUCUUGACGACACCACUUCCAUGGCGAAUCCGCUUCAAUCUGUGACGAUAGGGUCGAGGUUUGGACGCCGAAAGGAGAAGAAAGUAGAGAGAUAUAGAGAGAGAGAGAGAGAGAGAGAGAGAGAGAGAGAUGCGGCGUGGGUGUGGGCACGUAUGCAUGAGGUUGGAAGGUUGGGUUGCCAGCAGCAGGUUUCGAAGAAGGAAAUGUGGGCAAGAUGGUGAAUACGACUGUGGGUAUAGUGAGGUAUGAGCAUGGAAGGUGAAAGUGUGAGGAUGGAAGGUAUGAAAGGAGCGGGUUAGUGAGAUAAAUAGGUAUUCGAAAGGUGGCUAUGCAUGGUGAAAAUGUGGGGGGUAUGGUGGUGCUAAAAAAAGUGAUAAGCAUGGAGGCAUGAAAGAUGGAUAUGAGGGUAGGUAUAAGGAUAUGUGGGUUUGAUAAAGGACGUAGAGAAAGAAAAGGUGGUGGCUGAUUCAUGGGGUUUGUUGGGUAGAGGAUGUGUGCAUAGGAUUAAUGGAAUGGGUAGUGGGCUGGUUUGAUGAGUAGUAAAAGUGGCCAUGGCUAGGGAGGUGGUGAUGAACGACGAAGGUGUCAUGGCGAGAGUGCUAUGAUAAUCAGCAAUAUCAACAAUCAACAACAAGAAAAUGAUCCAGAAAAUCAAUGAAAUACAACGUGUAAUCCAACCCAAACUGAUAAGCAAUGCAAAGAAAACCCAAAAUGAGAAAGAGAUGAGAAGAAAAUGAAUCAAACGGGGCAAAAGACCCACCUCAAGCUCGCCUGUAGCAGCUUUCUUCCUCCGUGCUCUCCCUCUCCAGUCCGCUCCCGCUCAAGAUCCCCCCCUUUCCUAUAGAUAUCUCAUAUCUUUCUUUUUCCUGUUUGUGUCUUCUUUCCCAAGCCAUUACUGGCUCCACUGUUCUUCCAUCCGUCAGCAGGCAUGGCUUCUCAACUACCUACCUGCAGCUGCAUGUCCAUGCCUAGAGAAGGGAUCAAGCCUCCAACUGGGGGUCCCCUACCCCUUUUAGAAAUACAAUGAAAAGUCAAGAAAAAACAACUCUCGGGCCCUCACCACCAAAGGGGGUCUACACAAUCUUAAUUAGGUAAUUUCCUAUUGCAAAAAACAAACAAACAAACAAACAAAUAAAUAAACUUGAAAUUUUUUGUACUUGCUAUAAAAUAUUUAUUUGUAAGUCUAAAAGUUAGCUCAGUGGAAGCUCUAAACCUACUGGUACGAACAAUUGGAUUACUUAAUUUGAUGGUAUCUUAUUCAUUUAUUUUUUAAAUUAAUCUUUAAAUUUAUUUGUUCUUUCAUUAUUGGUCAUGUUUCUUGGUAAAUAAUGUCGUCCAUUUGUGGCAAUUUUCCUAGAAAUUGCAUUGUAUCUUAUAAUCUCAUACACCAAGAUCAUGUUUGAUUUCCAAAAUAGAGAAAAUAUAGAGGAAAGAAAAUAGAGAAAAAAUAGAAAGAAAUAAGAAGUGAAAGAAAAUAAAAAAAAUAAAUUUAAAAUUAAUAAAUUAUUUUUUAUAUUCUGCUUCAAAUUUAUUUCACUUAAAUAAUUUUAAAAUAUAUAAAUUUUUAUUUAAUUUGAAUUAUAUUUGAUUUUCUUUUAUAUUUUUCAUGAUGAAACUAAAUAUGAGAAAAUAAUUUUUCUUUAACAUUUUUUUUUCUUAAUAAUUUAUGAGAGGAAUUUUUAUAUAUAAAAGUACAAUCAAUUUAAAUUUAAUUUUUUAAAAUACAACAUAUUGGAAAAUAUAACUCUAUGGUACUUUAUGUCAUGUUGGAAGUUGUCUUUUGAAGAGGCACAUUUUACAAUUUUCAUAUUAAUCACACCAUUGAAAAUAAAAAUAUAUUUAUACUAAGGAUAUCUCUUGAAGAAACACCUUUAGUAUAAAAUCCAAAUUUGUGAAAUUAUGGAAGGUAUGUCUUGAAAAGACACCUUUAAUGUAAAUUCAAUUUUUUUUUUCAUGUGGCUAAUAUGAAAAUUGUGGAAGAUGUCUCUUCAAAACACAUAUUCAGUACAAAUUCAAUUUUAUGGAAAUGUGAAAGGUAUCUCUUCAAGAGACAUGUUUAGUAUAAAUUCAGUUUGUGGAGUUAUGGAAGGUGUCUCUUGAAGUGACACUGUGGACCCCGCAUUUCGGCUGCUCAAUGUGUUUCCCACUCGAAGGGCGAGCGCGAUUUUUAUUAUUUUGAAGAAUGGAUUUGUCGAUUAAAAUGACUUGGAGUCGCCACUUAUUUUUGUUUUAUUUUUAAAAGGUAAACAAAAUAAGAAAGAAAAACCCUAAGUGUGACUCCUUAAUUUGGAAAAGACGAUCUGCGAAAAACCGGAUCAGGUUCGGGGGUCAGGUUUCUUGUCGGGAAGGUACGGUAAGGACCGUAGCACCCCUCUAAGCUCCUAAAAUGGGUCUCUACUAAUAAAAUGGAUCAAACGUGGCAAUUAAUUCGGAAACCAAGGAAUACCCGGAACUAUCAUGCACAUGUGAGAAUCAAAGCAUGCAUGUAGAAAUACCAUAAUGGGAAUAAAUAUGUACCUGGUUAGCAAACGGCAACGCGCUAUCACAAAAUAGGGUUAGUGAACAAACACAGGUUGAUUAUAUACAUAUCAUGGAACAUAGCAAAACAAUCAAUCAAUUAGUUAGUCAUGAAUUCACAUAUGUGGGGCCCCCACCAAAGCCCAUUUUAUCUUGCUUGAAUCAAUUCCGAUAACUCCAUUGUUCGGAAUUAUGGAAUUUGAUUCCUUGCUUAUUUCAAAACAUUAAAAAAAAAAACAAAAAAAACAGAGGAAGUAUGAAAAUUGCUUGCCAGAAAUAAAAGUGGCAGCGAAGCUUUAUUAAAAAUGUGAUGUUGGAACCUAAAAAAACUUUAAGGAUGAAGUAUGAGGCGAUUGGGACCAUUUGAAUACCAGGAUUUAGAAGAAGUUACAAAAUGGGAUUCGAGGAGCGAGGUACCCAGGAAAGAUGGCGGCGGAGGAAUUCCGGGUACAAUGGGUGUUUUUCCGGACGCGAUGGGCGUCCGGAGGAAAAUGGCGGCGGAAGAAAUUCCGAGUACAAUGGGCGUUCGGAGGAAAAUGGCGGCGGAAGGAAUUUCGGACUUGAUAGGCGUCCGGAGGAAAAUGGCGGCGGGUGAUUCCGGACGCGAUGGGCGUCUGGAGGAAAAUGGCGGCGGAGGAUUUCGGGUAUAAUGGGCGUCCGGAGGAAAAUGGCGGCGAAAGGAAUUUCGGACGCGAUAGGCGUCCGGAGGAAAAUGGCGGCGGAGGAUUCUGGACGCGAUGAGCGUUCGGAGGAAAAUGGAGGCGGAAGGAAUUCCGGGUACAAAAUGCCGUCCAAGUGUAAUGACAGCGGGGGAAGGUUCCGGAACGUGAGGGUGUCCGGAUGGAAUGGUAGAACGUGGUUAUGAGUAGCAUGAAGGAUAGGUAUGGGUGGUAUGGAUAUGGGGGCUUGGGUGAGUAGUUUUAGUGGGUAUGUGUGGGAAUGAAGGAUGGAAUGCACCCCUGAAAGACUAAGUAAGCGAGGGAGCGAGAUGGAGAAUGAAUGAGAAGAAGAUGGGUGUGGGCAUAUUGGAUAAAACGAUGAAUAAGAAACGAAAAUGGGUAUAGAGAUGCUGAUGAGGGGAGCUUUGCUGCCAUGACAACUACUCCAGAUUUUCUAGGAUCUCUUUCGAGCAGGGAUGAGAAAAUGGAUGCGUACCAUGGACGGAUAUCAAGAAACAGGGGAAGUAGAGAAACAGAGUGUGAAAGAAGACGAAUAAAUAAAGAAAAAUCUCAGAAAAUCCAUUUCAUGAAUCAUCCAUGAAUCUUCUGAGCGGGUGGGUAAAUCAUAUCAAAUGCAACCACCCUCAUGAUUCUCAAGCAUUUCAUAACCACAACAGAAGCAUAUCAAAUUUAAAAGAUGGACAAAUCUACGCAAACGCAGGCAUAUAUAUCAACAAACAGAUCGGUGGCCUUCAACAUCCACCCAAAACAACAUUAUGUUAUGGAAAAUCAAUGAAUAAUGAGGGACGAGGAGAAAAACUGUGUACAUACCUGGUUCCUCAAGCAAAAAGAAAACCGGUCUCAGCUCUCUCAAUGAGUUUCCCUCUCUAAAAGACUCCCAAGUAAAUCAGCUAGGAAAAGUCUCCCUCUCUCCUUUGCUCCCUCUUGGCAAUGGAAGAAAAACCAGAGAAAAAUCUCCUCUUCUCUUUCCCCAAAAAUCCUCCUUUCCCACCAGUUCUCUCCAGCUAAAACUCUCCUCUCGUUUUUCUUCCUAUUCACUGGUCAGCACGCAUGGUUCUCCCAACCACCCUCCUGCUGCACGUCUACAAUCUUGUCCCCUCAAACGAUCUCUGCCGCAACCACCUUUUCUCCCUGCAACACUCCUUUUGCAGCCACCUUUUUUCUCUGCCAUCUGCGCCCCUUAACGGCCUACGGGACCCCCUUCCAAAACGUUUCUCCACGUAUCAAAGUCAUACUGCAGCCUCAAAAAGCGAGGUUGAUUCCUUAUGACCACUAAGGAUGUGACACGUGGCCCGCUAGGAUAGUGACACCUGGCUAAAAUGAGCUGCUGAAAAACGAGCCCCAAAUGGGGGUCUACAGACACCUUUAGUAUAAAUUCAAUUUUUUUCAAUGUGUGACCGAUAUGAAAAUUAUGGAAAGACGUCUCUUAAGAGACACUUUUAAUAUAAAUUUAAUUUUAUGAAAUUGUGGAAAUUUUCUUUUAAAGAUACAGUUUUAGAAUAAAUUCAAUUUUGUAAAAUUGUAGGUGUCUCUUCAAAAGACACCUUUACUAUAAAUUAAAAAAUUUCAAUAUGUGGCUGAUAUGAAAAUUAUGGAAGGUGUCUCUUCAAAAGAUAGCUUCUGACAUGAAAAAAAACUACCAUAAUUCCUUAAUAGUUUCACAAGUACCUUUUUUAAAUUUCUUUUGUUUUUUAUAAUUCAUUGUAGAAGUUUUUUUUUUUUUUAAAAAAAAAAACCCCCUUUCCAAGAACCAAGCAUAGUUUAAAUAAUGUUGAUAAUUUUCUACUGAUUCUCCCCAAACUUUUAUUGGAAACUAACAAAAUGGGGCUUAUUAUAGAAUUUUUAAUCUACCUAUCAUUUUGUUGGUCUUCGAAACCACUUUACAAAAUUAAAAAUAAAAAUAAAAAUAAAAACAAAACAAAAGUAGAGGGAACAUUGAUUUCUAGCUUUUAACAAUAAAAAAAUAAAAUAAAAUAAAAUAAAACCCAACAAUUUCUUAAAGUAGGUUUUGGACCUAAUGAAAUACAUAGCAGUUAAACAAUGUCAAAUGACAUAUGACUAUUUGAAAACAAUGUUAAAGACAUUAGUUUGAUCACUGUGAUUCUUAUUACAGCUAGAAUUUUAUUUAUGUAUUUUUUGUUCGUGUGUCACAUUAUAGAGUCUACCAUUGUGAGAACUACAACCCCUUAAGCUUCAAUACUCAUCUCAAUUUUAUGAAGGUUCUUUUAACUAUUAUUUUGAAUUGGGAUUUGGCCACAACCUAAAUUAACCAAGAAUUGACAAUUGAGACAAACUCAUACUCAAAAUCCAAUUGGUUGAACUAAUUGCACUAUGGAAUGCUCAUAAUGUUGGUUCGGUUCAAUAAUUGAGUCGCUAUAGGUAUCAAACUGAAAACAAACUAACUAAACUAUCAUUGAACCCUUUGGACCAAUUCUAUGGUCUGUGCUGUCGAUUUGGUUUAGCAAUCUAGUCGUGCUGGGUAAUGAAUUGAAAACAAAGUUGGGUUGUCUCUUGACCAGUGAACCCAAUAUAUUAGAAUGUAAAAGGCAAAUGAUAAUUAUGCAUGCGCUACUUUUGUGUUUGUUGUAGUGUUAAAUUAUUUUGAAUGUGUAUUCAUAUGUUAUCAUUUUUAAUAAUUAAAUAUAUUGUACCAAAAUGCAAAAGGCAAAUAAUAAUCAUGUCUCUUGCUACUUUUAUGUUUAUUGUGGAGGUAAAUUAUUUUGAAUGUGUAUUUAUAUGUUAUCAUUUUAUAAUUUAAUAUACUAUUUAUCAAGAUUAAUACAAUAAUGUAAACUUAAUAAUUUUUAAGAUAAUAGAAUAGGAUAAUGUAAUGGAUAAAAUUUUAUUAUUUCAUUCUAGAAUAUAUCAUUGAAAUAGUAAAUCAUAAAUAUUACAUAUUCAUACUAUUUAAUAAAUAUACAAAUAUGGAAAUGAUAUAUGCUGGCAAUUUUGUUUCUUUUAAUGUUUGACCUUAUAAGUCUUUUUAGAUAGUGACUUACUCUUCAUUGAAGAUCAAGAGUUGUUGUUCGUCCAAUUAGGAAGUCAUAGUUAUGUUUAAAAAUGUUUGGCUUAUGGCAAGUUAGGCUCUCAAGAGGUAUAAAGAGAAACAAUGCCUUCUUAAUUAAAGAAAAAUGAUUUUUUAUGAAUAUUGAAAGAAAUAGGGGAUGCUCAAGUGGAAAGCAACACUCAAGCACUAGGAUCGCUCAAUUGCUAAGCAUUGUUUAAGUGCCCAAGGUGCUCAAACGAUGGUUAACUAUGCCCAAGGCGCUCAAGAUUUUUCUAUUGAGAUUUGGAAGAUAUUUUUGAGAAUUUCAUGCAAAUCUCAUUUGGAAACCUUAUGAUACCGAAUCUCUUCGGGAUAUUUGCCUAUAAAUAUCUCAUUAUAACCCUUCUAGGGUUAAAUAUUGGAGAGAUUUCGAAGAAGUCUCCUUGAGAGAAAGCAUAAUGAGCCACACCAUUCUCAAUCUCUCAUUCGAAGGAUUCAAGCAUUGAAUCUUAGGUUGAAGACCUUCAUCUCUUCAACAAGGUUGAAGAGUAUUUAUUGAAGCAAUCAAAAGUUGCUACAUCGCGAAUGUGGAUCAAGUUGUAGUUACUUGAAACUAAGUCUUUAGAGUAAAGUGGUCAAGUAAAUUUGUAUAACUUGAUCUCAAUAGUGGAUUUAGAUUAACAGUCCUAAACCUCAUGAUUUUUUAUAUCCACGGUUAGUGUGGGGGGUUUUCCACAUAAACAUCCUUAUGCUUGAUUGCAUAUCUUUAUUUUCUUGUUUGCAUUGCCUAUUAUGGAAAGAUUUGAUAAUUUUUAACUACUCGUAGGGAAAAGUUAGUUAUAAUAUAAAAAUAUUUAUUUAAAAUUUUUUAAUUACACCCAUUCACCCUCCUUCCCUCCCCUAGGUGUUACCCUAUUGAACUUCAGUUUUUCAAUUGGUAUCAGAGUGAGAUAAAAAUUGAUCUUUUACUAAUCAUAUUGAUUAAAAAUCAAAAUUUUAUUGAUAUUUCUGGAUAAAGAUCAAAAUUUUAUUAAUUACAUAGAAUAAAUUUUUAUUGAUCUUGUAAGUCCAAUAAGGAACAAUCAAAAUCUACGGCUUCUCUAAAUAGUCCACCUUACUUCGAUGGCAGUAACUAUUCUCAUUGAAAAGCCUAGAUCAAGUUUUUUCUUAAAAUGCAAGGUUAAUGGAUAUGGAAUUCAAUCAAAUAUGAAUAAGGACCCCCAUUGAUUAUUGAUGUCCAUGGAAGAUCAAUUGAAGAAUUAAAACCUAAACAAGCUAGAUUGGGGCAAAGCCAAUAAUGAAGGGAGUGAAGUCAAUGCUAGGACUUUAUUUAGUAUCUUUAAUGGAGUUUGUCCAUAUGAGUUUCACAAGAUAGCAAAUUUUACUCGUGGUAAGGAAGCAUGGGAUAUUCUUCAAGUCACCUAUGAAGGUACGUCCGUUGUUAAAAUUUCUAAAUUGUAAAUGCUUACUACUAAGUUUGAGAAUAUUAGGAUGCAUGAAAACCAUAACUUUUUUUUUUUAUGAACUAAGUGAUAUAAUUAAUUCUUCAUUUAACCUUGGAGAACCUGUUCUAGGUUCAAAGGUAGUAAGAAAAAUAUCAAGAUCCCUCUUAGAGAGAUUUAAACCUAAAGUUAUAGCCAUAGAGGAGAGUAAGGACAUUGAUUCGAUGAGAGUUGACAAACUUGUUGGCUCCAUACAGACAUAUGAGAUGACCUACCUAAUUCUCAAAGGCCUAAAGACUCUCUGCCUUUAAGGUUUUUGAGAAUAAGGAAAAAGAUACUGAAAUGACAUAUAAUAUAGCUAGGGAUAAAUUGGCUUAUAUGGCUAAAAGAAUUAAAAAGGUCAUGAAAUUCAAUAAAAAGUUUUUCAAAAAUCAAGAAUCUGGAAAAGAAAAAAGACCUAAUGAUAAAUCUUCUAAAGAAAAUGAUAAAGGUUCCUCCAAAGGUAAGAAAGUAGAAUGCUUUAACUGUGGUGGUCUAAGACAUUUUACCAUUGAUUGUCCUAGCCCUAAAAAUAUAAAAAAGUCUAUGUAGGCCACAUGGAGUGACAUUGAUUUUGAAGAAAGUGGUUUCACAACUUCUGAAGAUGCAAGGUAUGAUCCUAAUGACUUUUUAGCCUUUGUGGCAUCUAUGGAAUCUAUGCAUGAUAGUGAAUGUGAUAGUGAUAGUGAUGAUGAAUUCACAGAUGAUCAAAAGCUGUUUUUUUUUAAAUAACUUUGUUGUUAAACAUGAAAAACUAAUUAAGAAUUAUUUAAGAGACCAUGAUAUUCCUGAAGCUCACAAAACUAAGGUUGAUGUGCUAAACGAACAGAGUAUUAAUCUUCUUGAAAAAACAAAAAAUAGAUUUCUUGAGUUUGAACAUCAUUAUUUUCUUAACAAGAAUAAUGCUCUCUCAUUCAAGAGAUGAAAAGUAAUAAGUCCUCUUCAUCUACAAAUGAGAUCUUUCAACCUGGAACUAAAGUGUUUAAUGAAAUACUUGAUAAAUGUAAAACCUAUGGUAAUAAAAGAGGUUUGGGAUACAUUAAUAAAGAUGAAACUCUUUUUAGUGGAGAAACAAUUUUCGUAAAAGAAAACAAAGAAACCCUUAACCAAGUUGGAUCUCUUAUCCUUACAUUACUAUGCACACACUAAGAAAUAGGAUACACUCAAUAUAGGUGCUACAGUAAGUUCCUAGAGAGAUUUGAAUCUCAAAUGAGUAGGCUAAUGAAUGACUUUAAUUCCCUUGAAAAUAACAUGUUUCAAUAAUGGGAAAGGGAAUAAACCUAAUCAAAAGCCUAGAAAUCAACAAAUCUUCUCUAAGUCAUCACCUAGGAUUAAACAAGUUUGGAUGAGAAAAGAUUGGGAUAAAUGUUAGGUUGUCUUCACUACUCUUAAAGUUACGUCUUCUAGUGAGUGGUACUUCUAUAGUGGCUGCUCUAGACACAUGAUAGGAGAUAAGUCAUUUUUCACUUCUCUUGAGGAUUAUAAUGGUGGCACAGUUACCUUUGGGGGUGGAAGCUUAGCUCAUGUGAAAAGAAAGAAAAGUAUAUCUAUCCUAAUGUCCUAAAUUAGAUAGAGUUCUCCAUGUAGAUGGAGUAAGAUCAAACCUCCUAAGUAUUAGUUAGAUAUGUGAAAAUGAACAUAGGGUGAAUUUUUGUCAUGACUUAUGCAAGGUAGUGAAUAAAGAAGGAAACACUACUACAAAAAUAAUAUAUGAUGUCACUAUUUAUGGUGUCGCAUUUAAAAUAAUGACACCAUUGAACUUAAAAUUUAUAAAGGUGACACAUCAUAUAAAAAAUCUUCAAUUAGGAUAGUUAGAUGAUGCUAAUUUCAGAUUUACGGUGUCAUUUUUUGGAAGUGACACCAUAUGAAAUAAAAAGUUUUAAAUUUUAUAACUUAAUGGGCCCUUUUUAAAAAUAGUGAGUAGGAACAAUUUAUGAAAAGUCCAUUGUUUCCAUAUAUACAUUAACUAAUAUAAAAGAUCUUAUUGCUUAACCCUAACCAUCGUUUUCUUCUCCUUCUUCUCACACCCAUGGUCAGCACACCCAUAAUUGAUAUUCUUUGCUUCGUAAAAUCUCGGGUAAGUCAAAAUCUCUUAUCUAUCAUCUUCAUUUUUUUUAUUAAUGCAAAAAACUUUGUUAGUAUAAUUGUUUUAUAUCUCUUGAUUUAGUAUAUCUAUGAUGUGGGUUUUGUAAAUGGUGUUUUUUAUCGAGUUCCAAUGAAGUAAAAACUAGGUUUAACAUUCUAACAUAUUUUUUGUUUCAUUGCUAAUAAGCCCCAAAACAAAUGAAAACAAGAAAAAUGAAUUAUUUUUAAAAUUUUUGUCUAAUUGAGAAUGAGAGAUACACUAGUUUGUAGUAAUUUUUCGCAUGAAAUAGUAUUUUAUUGAAGACUUGACUAUAUUUGAUACUUUUUUCCACCGUGCUAGGAGCUUUUUGGUGAAAUCUAACAAUAGAGAUUGACAUCUACUACAAGAUGAUACUCAAUUAAUCCAAAAGCACUUAAGUUAUUUAGGGUUUUCUUCAGUUAACCUAAGAAAACAUUCCCACUUUCUUUGUAUUGAGUCACCUAAAUAGAAUAGAAUAUUGGGUAUCAGAGUCGUAAAGGGUAUUAUAAAUAUGACUUUUUUUUUAGAGUCACCUACGUGGAAUGAAUUAUUGGUAGGUGAACAAAAUAUUGGGGUGAUUGUAAUAGUUGAAUUAGUAAAUGGAAGAUAAGUGUAUGUUGCUUUGUUUAUUCUAUAAAAACAAUAAUUUUAGUAGUUGAAAUUUACAUGCUUUGUUGUUUUAUAAAAACAAUAAUUUUAGUAUUUGAAAUUUUAAAAUGUGAAUGAAAUGCCUGAAAAUAUGUUUUGAAAAAUAGGAUAGUAAUAAAUGGAAAAUAACUCAUUUCCUAAAAAUAUUUUGAUAAAUUAAAAUAAUAUGUGGUUAAAAUAUAUUUUUGUGAAAGUAUUUAAAAAUGAAUNNNNNNNNNNNNNNNNNNNNNNNNNNNNNNNNNNNNNNNNNNNNNNNNNNNNNNNNNNNNNNNNNNNNNNNNNNNNNNNNNNNNNNNNNNNNNNNNNNNNAAAAUAUUUUUGAAAAUAGAAAUAUAAAUGAUAUAGCUCAUUUCCUAAAAAUCUUUGAUAAAUAAAAUAACUGUAGUUAAAAUAUAUCUUAUGAAAGUAUUUAAAAAUGAACCAAUAUAUUUAUAAUUGUUAUUUGUUUAAAAAUAAUUUAAUAGUAAAAAAAUAAUACUGAGUUCAAAUAUGACUACUUUGUUAUGAGAUUCAUUAAAGAAAUAAUUGUUGAUUUUACAGUUAUUGCAUAAAAUGUUUUACUCGUUUAAUGAAUUGUACAUAAUUUCAUACUUUCAAUUAUUGUGAUAUUAAUGUUAUUCUCAUUUGAUUUCAGUUUGAUGACAAAUAAAACAUAUUCUCAAGUAGAAUUUGAUGAAAUUAGAGAAAAAUAGAUUACUUUUGUGUUAUAACUAAUCAUGAAUCAUAUUGAUGUAUCGUGAUCAUUCAUGGUAAGUCCCUUAGUUGUUAUAUGAUUGAAUUUUCCAUUGAUAUUGUAUAACAUUACUUAUUCUUUACGAACUAUUUUUAUACCAAAAUGAGAAAAAGGAAAAAGAAAAAGAAAACAUUAGUACUUAGAUUUGUUUAUUGUUUAUAACAUCACAUUUUUAUUUUCAAUAAGAACUCUAAAACUCAUUAAACUAUGAAAUGCAGGUAUACACUCUUGGGAGGACAAUAUGAAGAAUAAAAAGAAAGGCGAAAGAGGCAACAAGAUUUAGGUUUUUAGAUAUGUCUCUUAUGUCAUACAUUAUAGGACAUAAAUGUUACUUUAUUUGGAAUUGAGAAUUUUGGGUUUUUGGAUGCAACUCUUGUGUCUUUUUAUGGUUAGUCAGUUUUAUGCAUAUGAAAUGCAAGUAUAUAUGAAUGUUGGGAAGCUUAACAUUUCUAAAUCAUGUUUUAAUGUGUAUUCACUUUUCUUUUUUAGUUUUGGUGGGUUUGAUGUGUUUGAUGUACUAUCAUUUUGUGAACAUUUGAUAUACAAAUAUUAUUGGAUGAUGUAAUAUGUUACAAAUUAAUUCAUAAGCNNNNNNNNNNNNNNNNNNNNNNNNNNNNNNNNNNNNNNNNNNNNNNNNNNNNNNNNNNNNNNNNNNNNNNNNNNNNNNNNNNNNNNNNNNNNNNNNNNNNUAUAUUUUUGUGAAAGUAUUUAAAAAUGAAUCAAAAUAUAAAUAAUUGUUAUUUUGUUUGAAAAUAAUUUAGGAAUAUAAAAUAAUAUUGGGGAUAAUUUUUGAGUUUAAAUUGGGUUAUAAAUGGUUAAUUUUUUUAGGACUGUCCUUUUUGAAAAUAAUCCAAUGAUAAUUUUUUUAAAUAAGAAUGUUGAAAAUAAUUUUAAAAAUAAAAUUUUGUUGACAAUGAUUUUUCUAAAAGUAUUUUAGGCAUAAAUGGAAAUUUCUUGUAUGAAAAUAAGAGAAUUUAUAUAUAUAUAUAUAUAUAUAAUAGACAUAAAAAUAGACUUCUUUGAUAUUUAAUAAACAAGUGAAUUUUUCUCUAAAAAAAGAAUGAAAUAAGAAUUUCUCUAUAUAAUAAAAUAAUUUAUAUAUGAGAUAGUUUUCAAUAAGAAAGUUUUGAAAAUAAAUUUGGGAUAAAAUAUUUUUUAGUAAGUUUUGUUUAGAUAAUUCAAGAAUAAAGUGGUUUAUUAACUUUUCUUAAAAAAUAACAUUCUUCUUUCUUUUUUGAAUUGAUCAAUUUUUUUAGAAAUAAAAUUGUUAGAUUCUAUUUUUUGUAAAUGUUUAAGAAAUUCUAAAAAAUUCUUUAAAAAUGAAAUGACCUUUCUACCACAUUCCUUGUAAUAAAUAAUUGUUUUUUUUAUACAUAUUGUAAAGUAAAAAAAAAAAGUAUUUGUUUAGUUAACCUAAGAAGACAUUCCUACUUUUCUUUGUGUUGAGAGUCACCUAAAUGGAAUAAAAUAUUCAAUAUCAUAGGAGAGUAAAAAGUAUUGUAUAAAUGAUUUUGUUGAGAGAGUUAUCUAAAUGGAAUGAGAUAUUGGUAGGUGAAUAAAAUAUUAUGGUGAUUGUAAUAGUUGACUUAGUGAGUGGAGGAGAAGUGUAUGUUUCUUUGUUUAUUCUAUAAAAACAAUAAUUUUAGUAGUUGAAAACGUGUAUGAAAUGACUGAAAAUAUUUUUUGAAAAAUAAGAAAAUAAUAAAUGGAUAAUAGCUCAUUUCCUAAAAAUCUUUUGAUAAAUUAAAAUAACUUGUAGUUAAAAUAUAUUCUUAUGAAAGUAUUUAAAAAUGAACCAAUAUAUUAAUAAUUGUUAUUUUGUUUAAAAUAAUUUAUAGUAAAAAAUAUACUGAGUUCAAUAUGACUACUUUGUNNNNNNNNNNNNNNNNNNNNNNNNNNNNNNNNNNNNNNNNNNNNNNNNNNNNNNNNNNNNNNNNNNNNNNNNNNNNNNNNNNNNNNNNNNNNNNNNNNNNGCAACUCUUGUGUCUUUUUAUGGUUAGUCAGUUUUAUGCAUAUGAAAUGCAAGUAUAUAUGAAUGUUGGGAAGCUUAACAUUUCUAAAUCAUGUUUUAAUGUGUAUUCACUUUUCUUUUUUAGUUUUGGUGGGUUUGAUGUGUUUGAUGUACUAUCAUUUUGUGAACAUUUGAUAUACAAAUAUUAUUGGAUGAUGUAAUAUGUUACAAAUUAAUUCAUAAGCAUUAUGAAAAUAUAAGUUAAAUGUAAUAUGAUUAUUAUAUUUAUGGACAAUUUACACAGGUUAGUCUUAUUUAUUAAUAAGCAUUACAAAAAUCUACAAACUAAUCAAUAAAAAACAACCAUAUCUUCCAUAAUCAUUUACAAUGAUGUGACACCAUAAAUUAAAGGUGAUACAUUUAACGUGACACCAUAACUCAAAGAUGAUGCAUUUAAUAUGACACCUUAUAUAUCUCAUACAACUCUAUAUCAAAUUAAGCAUCACUAAAAAUAUAUGGUGUCUUUUCUGAAUGUGUCACCAUUUAUCUACUUUGGUGUCGCUUCCAAAUACGUCACCAAUUGAUACCCUCUAUGGUGUCAGUGGAUAAGGUGACGCUAUAUUGUAGUGACACCCUAUGUUUAUAGCGACUUAUUAUAAAUGUCACCAUAUAUUUUUUUCCUUGUAGUGAAAAGUCAUUAUCAUAGGACACAUGAAAGUUAACAACUCUUAUGUAAUAAAUUCUAACUCUAAAAGUGCACUAGGGCAAAGGUAGAUCUUACUGAACUCUAGUAUAGAAGGCUAGGUCACAAACUAUAGGGAUCUUGUACAUGUAGUGAAUAGUGAAAAAGUUAGAUGUGUCCUUAAACUAAGUGGUGAACCUAAACCCAUUUGGUAGUGAGUGUAUGAAAGGUAAACAAACUAAAAGUUCACACAAAAAGGUUAAAGAAAUUAGAAUCACUAGACCUUUAGACCUACUUCAUAUGGAUCUUAUUAGUCCCAUGUGUACUAAAAGUAGAGAUGGUAAGAGAUAUGUCCUAGUUGUUGUGAAUGAUUUUUCAAGAUACUCAUUUGUGAGUUUUCUUAGAGAGAAAUCAGAGACCAUAGAGCAUUUGAAGUCAUUGUUCACAAGAAUACAAGUGGAGAUAGGCCAUCCAAUUGUGAGGAUUAGGAGUGAUAGUAGGGAGAAGAGAGUUUGACAAUGUGGAUGUUGACCUCUUUUGUGAGUAAAAAGGUAUCAAACAUGAAUUUUCAGCCUCUAGAACUCCUCACUUAAAUGGAGUGGCUGAAAGAAAAAAUAGAGUGUUACAAGAAAUGGCUAGAGUGAUGAUUCCUACGCAUAAUACCCCUAUGCAAUUUUGGGUUGAAGCUAUAAAUACGACAUGUUAUACUACCAAUAAGAUUUUUCUUAGGCCUGCAACAAUGAAAACAUCUUAUGAAUUAUGGACUAGGAGAAAACCUAACCUUACGUAUUUUAGAACUUUUGGUAGUGAGUGCUACAUACUCAAGGAUGGGGAGAACCUAGGGAAAUUUAAUGCAAAAUUUGAUGUAGGUAUCUUCCUAGGCUAUUCUACUAAGAGUAAAGCCUAUAAGGUUUAUAAUCAAAAUUCACACAUUGUCCAAGAAUCCUCUAAUGUGGUUAUAAAUGAUAUUGGGUAUGAUCAUGAUGUAUUAAUUGAGAAUCAAAUUUUAACCCAAGAAUUAAUUGGGGAUAACCCUAAAAAUGUGGAGAUCAUAGAAGAUAACCCUAAUAAUAUCCCUAAAAGUAAAAUCAAACCCUAACAAGGAUGAAAAUUUAUCUCAAGAAGACACUAUUGAAGAAACAAGGAAUAAACAUAAAUCCAGAGUAGAAAAAAACCACCAUAUCUCAAAUGUUAUAAGUAACAUGAAUGAACGUGUGGUUACUAGAACAAAAUCAAGAUUAAAUGAGAUGUUGUAUGCUACACCUCCCAAUUGGAGCCAAAGAAUUAUAGAGGAAGUUUUAGGAUAUGAGUCUUGGGUCUAAAGAUAAGCAUGUCAGAAGUACAAAAUAAAUUUUAAAAAAUAUACAAAAUGAAAAUAGGGUCAUUGUGAGGAACAAAGUAAGAUUAGUAGCCCAAAGAUAUUCAUAGGCAGAGGGGAUUGACUAUAAAGAGACAUUUGCACCCGUAGCUAGAUUAAAAUCAAUUGGGAUACUUUUGGUCAUAGCAUGCUCCUUGAGGAUGAAGCUUUGUCAAAUGGAUGUCAAGAGUGCUUUCCUAAAUGGGAUUCUUCUUAAUUCAAACAUUAGGUUAGAAAUUAUGCAAAUUUCAUUAAAAUGAUUUUUCUUUACAUGACCAUUAUUCAAAACAUUAUUAAUUUUUUUAUAUAAAAAACUUCAAAUCAAUAGGAUUAGAUAGAAAAAAAAAAAACAAUUUGAAGCAUUUCUAAAAGAAAACCAAAUGCUUAUAUCCUUCUUGUACCAAUUUGAUACGUUUGAUGAUGAUUGACAUUGCCUUCAUUUCCUUUGGAAGAUUAUUUGUUUUUUUACUCUAUUUGUUGUGGAGUUUUCUUCAACUUCACUUGACCUUUCAUUCUCCUUCACCUGCCCUUGUUGUUGAGCUAAGCAUCAUCAAUUCUCUCUUCCAAUUGACUAGCUCAAAAUCAUCGUUGACAUAUUCUCAACCAAGAGAGUUAGAAGAAUAAAAAAUUAAGAAAUGCUCCAUCAUUGAUAUAAAUCAAGUUUUUGCCAAAAACUUUCUUUUGAUUUGAAAAAUCGAGCAUUUGCAUCCAAAUGACAAGUCCAAAGAUAAUAUUCAAAAAAAAUUCUUUAAAGAUGAUUUAUGCGUAAAAAAAAAAAAUUAUAUUUCACAUUAUCAACAUAUCUAUUUUAAAGUAUGAGAGGGACAACAUUACUUAAAAUUACCAAUUUCAAUUUUAUCCAAGGUAAACAUAUUCUUCUUUUUCAAGCAUGGAUUCCUACAAAACCAAAUAGAUAAUCAUUGGUACCCAUAUCUCCUUAGGUCCUAAACACUUAGUCUCUCAUUCCUUUAGAAUCUAAAAUGAUCUAGAGUUGAACAAUAUGAGAAGAUUUUCUUAAUGAACAAUUAUUACCAUAGUUUUAAAACCAACUGUCGACCAGCAGCCUUUCCGGUCCAAUCCUUUCUUUUGAGCCGAACACCCAUCGAACCAUUCUUAAGUUGCCUGAACAAGCUAAUGAGUUGGCGAACCAGAUGAACUAGGCUAUUUUGUAAUAACCGAAUAGUUCAAAACUCACUCUAUUUGCUACCCUUUUCUUUUUGGCAAAAUGUGGCCCAAAUUGCUUUUCGACGUGGAAUAACUGGAAUGAAUAUUUUAAAGAAAAAUUACAUUUAUAACUACAUGAGAAGAGCUUAAACCCCAAACCCCAAGUUAAAGUAAAGUCGACAACACCACUCUAUUACGCCCCAUUUGUUGUUAAAAUUGAUUAAAAAUAAAUAAGUAAAUUACCUAUGUUAUUUCAAAAAAAUAAUAUAUAUAUAUAUAUAUAUAUAUAACAAAAGCACCUCUACGAGGGGGUGCAACCCUUUGAAUGGACCGUAAAGGCUAAUCCUUGGAAAAUUUGGUUUUGGGUAUAUAUCAUCAUUAAGUUAGAUUAUUUUUAUUUAUGUUUCUAGAUUACACUCAAUGACAGUUUUUCAAGACUUAAUCAUUUAGGUAGAUUGUGUUUUCUAGAUCUAAUUGAAUAUAAAGUUAAUUGUUUUUUCCAAAAUUUGUUUUCUAUAUAUUAUCGUUAAGUCCAAAUUGAGUAAUAAAUACAUCACUUUUGAUAAAUUAAGUAAUACAACAUGACUCAUACCUAUUUUUCCUUUGAUUUUAUUUUCAAAUAAUAAAAAAAUAAGUUGACAAGACCUAUUUUGCCUUAAAUUUUAUUUUCGAAUACUAAAAGAAAAUUGACAUGAACUAUUUUUCCUUAAAUUUUAUUUUUGAAUAGUAAAAAAUAAUUUGACAUGAACUAUUUUUCCUUAAAUUUAUUUUCAAAUAGUAAAAAACAAGUUGAUACUAUACAUAAUAACCUAUCCUAUUUAUUAUGGUCAAUUCCAAAAUGAGUAAUAUGACAUCACUCAUGAUAAAUUAGGUGAUACAACACGAUAUGACCUAUUUUUUCUUAGAUUUUAUUUUCAAAUAGUAAAAAAACAAGUUGAUACAACCUAUUUUUCCAUAAAUUUUAUUUUUUGAACACUUAAAAACAAGUUAACAUGACUUAUUUUUCCUAAAAUUUAUUUUUGAAUAGUAAAAAACAAGUUGAUAUCAUAAUUACCUAUCCUAUUUAUUAUGGUCAAUUCCAAAUUGAGUGAUAUGAUAUACCCAUGAUAAAUUGGGUGAGACCACCUAUUUUUCCUUAGAUUUUAUUCUCAAACAAUAAAAUAAAAUAAAAAGUUGACAAGACCUAUUUUUCCUUAGAUUUUAUUUUUGAAUAGGAAAAAUAUAAGUUGACAUGACCUAUUUUUCCAUAGAUUUUAUUUUUGAAUAGUAAAAGAAAGUUGACACCACCUAGUUUUCCUUUAAAAAAAAAUGAACAAUAAAAAGCAAGUUGACACAACCUAUUUUUUCCUUAAAUUUUAUUUUCAAAUAGUAAAAACAAGCAGACACCACCUACAAGUUGACAUGAUUUAUAUUUCCUUAUAUUUUAUUUUCAAAGAGUAAAUCCAAGUUGACAUGAUCUAUUUUUCCUUAAAUUUUAUUUUUGAACAGUUUGCAAGGACUACCCUCUCCUACCUGUCUUAGAAUCUCAAGCCUUCAAAAGAAGUUAGAGAUCUAUGACUGCCCCAAGCUCCAAUCUAUAUCCUUGACAGAAGAGCAAUUGCCCCCCAACCUUUCUGUUCUAACAAUCCAGAAGUGCCCAUUGUUGAGAGGUCAGUGCAAAGUUUUGGACAAGGGAAGAUUGGCAUAAGAUAGCACACAUUCCACACAUUGUGAUCGAUGACCAAGUUUUGUAAUCAAGGUAGCAUUGCACCAAUUUUUAGUCAAGUAUUGGUUUUGUCCUGAAAGUAAUUUUCUCACGAAAACUUAUAUGCUUAAAUACCAAUUUUAAUUUGAACAAUUAUAAAUAGGAAAAAUAUGCUUUAAAUUUUCUAAUUAUUACAAUAUUUUCUUGCUUUCUUUCAAGUUAUCAAUAAUUCUUCACUCUUAUAAAUUGAUGCUUCAUAUCUUCGUAAGAAAUCUUCUUUUAAUCAAUAAUGUCUUAUUGAAUGCUUCAAAUUAUUAAGGAGCACAAUAUGCAUAUUGAACCAAAAUCCUUCAAGUUCAAGCUUUUAGGGAAAUUGGUAGUUCAAUAAGGUAUUAGAACUUGAUUUGCUAAGAGUCAUGAGUUCAAGCCACUUGCAAUAUGCAUGUUUGUUUCCCCUAUUUGUUUCUCAUCUCCCCCUUUGCAAUUCUUCAAUAUAUCUAUCCCCCAAUUUACAAUCCUUUAGUAUCUCUCUCCCCCAAUUUACAAUUCUAUGGUAUCUCUCCACAUGAGGGAGAGGGUUAAGGAGCAUGAUAUGCAUAUUGAACCCAAAUCCUCCAAACUUAAGCUUUUAGAAAAAUUGAUAGUUCUACCAAAAAGUCAAGCAAUUCUACAUGUCUGGUUUCAUAACUCGUGUUUCUUGUAUAACUUUAUGGACCUUGAAUUUGUAACUUGUGUUUCUUGAAUUCGUUUUCAUUGGCUAACUCACUGAAACCUCAUGGCAGUCCUUGGAUCCUAGUUUUCUCAACAAAUUCGAGUGGUCUAGCAUAUUUUUUUUAGCAUCCAAAGACCCAUGAUUGAUACACUUCUUGAGGAACUAGAGAAAGCUCAACUAUAUUGGAGACUGCAGUAUGCAACAUGUUCUAUGAUUCCAAUUAGUAAGACAUUUCAAUUCCUUUAUUUUAACUUUCUAAGCUACAAACUAAAAAGAUUUUCAAUCCCAUAUGCAUUAUUUUUAAGAUUCUUUGUGUUAAUAUCUUAGAUCUUCUCUAGAAUCAACAGGUAUGUACCUUAUGAUUCAUACUUUUCAUAAAGAAAAUUGUCAAAAAUUUAAUUUUCUUUUCUUUAACUUUUUCAUGUAGAAUCAAACAAGAAUUUUUUAUAUAGAUAAUUUUUACUAUGUUUUUUUUCCUUCUCUUUUUUCUUUAUGAUUUUUUUCCUUCAAAUUUUUAAGAAAUAAAAAAUUAUCUGACUUACAUUUAUAAAAUGUAGUCAUAUAGUAUAGUAUAAUGUUGUGUGGGCUAUGAGUUGAUAUGAUAUUCUUAAGGCCUUAGCUCAUGACCAAUAUGCAAGUUUAGUUUGAAUCAGAUUUUCUAAUGUACUAUAUCCUAGAUAGUCUUUUCUGAUGAUAAAAAUUCAAAUCUUUCUAGAAAUUUUAUUAUUUAAUGUGGAUGCGUAAACUUUGAUUUGCAACUUUGAAAAUUUAAGGCAAUUGUUGAAUAAAGGUGUGAUACGUUUGUUUUUUUAAUUAAAAAAUAGAUAAUAUAAAACUCUUAUAAUAAAAAAGAUUAAAUUUCUAAAAUCCAUAUCUAAUCCCCAGAUUCACAGUCGUCAAUCUAGAUUGACGUAACCAAUUGGCAUGCUAGAAUUUCACUCAUUUGGACACUUUUAUUAUUAAUUACGUACUAACAUGUUAAAGUCAAUGACAAUAAUCUAAUUUAGUCCACUCUUUUAUGCUAUUCUAAGAUUUCAUCCUCAUUCAUGGAGAAAGAAUAAAAAGGUGUUCCUUUUAACUUAACAAACCAAGAAUGACAAGCAUUUAGACAUUGUGCUCUCAAAAACACCAAGAUAUACCAAUCCAUUAAUGGUCUAAAAUCAACUUCACAAAUGACAAAUAUAAGCAACCAUAAAUCACUCAUUAUAAAAAAUGUUAAAAGAGAUAAAUCAAAAGUGAUUGUAGGUUUGUAAUGUUAGGUCCAACGGAGUAAAAAUUCUCAAGGUCUCAACUCAUGCCAAAUAUGCAAAUUUUGAUGGAAUUAAUUAGGAUGUCUCAACUUUUUCUUUUCCUUUUCUUAGGUUGGAUUUAUAUUGGUUGAUAGUGAUUCUAUUUAUCUAUUAAUAAAAAGUUUACUUUUUAAAUCUAAACUAAAAGUACAUUAUAUUUAUUAAUCUAUAGCAUUAUAAAAGUUUGAAAAAUCUUUAGGGUAACAAUAUCCAUAUUAUGUUCAUUCAUAUCUCAAAUAUUAAAGCUAUAUUAAAACUAUUAACAUUGUAAAUAUGAAUACUUAUUCUUAUAUAUUCUUAAAUAAGAUAUUGAUAGAUAGUGACUAAGUAUAUCCCGAACAAAUACUAUAAUAAUGUGUAAAAUAAAUAUAACAUGUGUUUAUUUUAUAGAAAAGUAUGAUUUAUAUAUAAUUUCACAUAUUUUAUAGGAUAUUUCUUUUCUAAAAAUGAGCUAUCUCCUGCUGAAACAUCAAUACCAAUUCUGGAAAGGGGAAGAUUGGCAGCAUAUAGCUCACAUUCCACGCAUUGUGGUGGACGAUCAACAAGGUUCUUAUAAUGUGCUAUAAAUGAUUUUUCUUCAAAAGGCAGUAAGUUGUGAUCGAAACUUUCUAGUCAUAUUGUUUUCUUCCAGCUUAGUACAUGCUUUUUCACUCUGGGGUUUAAUCCUUUGGCAAUACUUUCUAUUAUCAUGAUUGCCUCUAAUUAACCAUAAACUUAACUAUUUUUUAUAUCGGCUGUAUCCAAUCUACUCGUAUCACAGCUCUAUAAAUUUUCUUCCCUGCUACUUUGCGUAAGGUUAUGUUUGAUUUCUCGGAAAGUACUAAGAAAAGGAAAAAAAAAAAUGCUAAAAAUCGGAGGCUUACUAUCACAAACAAUCAGAGGCUUACUCCAAUCAAUUAAUGAGGGCAAACUAAUGAUACAUGAAUGAGUUUCUUCUAACUCAACAACUUAAGUUUAGGUAAAUUUCAGGCUCUAAUAGGCAUCUCCACUUUAGUCACAGCUUGUUUGGUAGCCUCUCCUAGUACUCAAAGAUAGACUCAUAAAGGAAGAAAAAAGAACUCAACCUCAUAAAUGAGAAGUAAGAAUUGAAAAAUCCAGGGAAACAAGCAAGCUAGAGCAGCAAGAGAAGAAUGGAGGCUAUCAAGAGGACUGUCCGGUCCUAUGCUGAGGAAAGAACAAAACUUGGACAACAUGCUUUGUGUUGCAGUUAAUACGGCAUAUACCCUUUGGGCUUGGACAACACUAAUUCUGGUCGGAAUAGGCAGGCCUAGGUUGGUGGGAAGGGUCUUGUCUCAGUGGAAGGGCCAAUGCUAGCAAGCCUGGCCCGAAGCUUGUUUUUCCUUUCUUGUUUUUUUGUCUCGGUCGGAAGCUUCUCUUUUUUAAGAAUGGGUUCCACAAUUGACACUGCCUAUCCGCUAGGUGUGCUGAAUGGUCAGCCGGCCUUAUCAGGAAUCUUGCAUAUUAUACUCUAAUUGUCGCAACUUGAAUAAAGUGACAACCCCAAAGGUCUUAUCCUUUCAAUAUUUUACAUAUUGUUUUCUUCCAGCUUAGCAUUACUUUCUAUUAUCAUGACUGCCUCUAAUUAACCAUAAACUAGCUAUUUUUUAUAUCGGCUUUUCCAGUAGUUGUGCUAAAUGGUCAGCCGGCCUUCAGGAAUCUUGGAUAUUAUACUCUAAUUGUCGCAACUUGAAUAAAGUGACAACCCCAAAGUUCUUAUCCUUUCAAUAUUUUACAUAUCAGAUAGGUGAUUUUGUUAAUAUAUAUAUAUAUAUAUAUAUAUAUUAUUAUUAAGAAUGGGUUCCACAAUUAACACUGCCUAUCCACUAGGUGUGCAUCUUAUACUCUAAUUGUCGCAACUUGAAUAACGUGACAACCCCAAAGGUCUUAUCCUUUCAAUAUUUUACAUAUCAGAUAGGUGAUUUUGUUAAUAUAUAUAUUAUAGACUAUUGAAGGGCAGGUUUAAUCCCUACCACUCAUAUUUUGUUUUUGGCAGCCAAAUUGCAAGUCACAUGACUGAGAGUUCUUGCUCACUAGUUAAUAUUUUUUUCUUUACUGGCCCUUGUGUUUGGUUAAGAAUGGCGAAGUUGUGAUAGGUCCCAAUCAGUACAAGCACAACAAACACAAAGAAAGUAUUCUCUUUGGGUGAGAAUGAACCACAAAUUCAUUAACUUCUCCUCUCCCUUUUCCAUUCUCUUCUUUCCAAAGUUAUACAUCAAAGAAACAACUGAAAUGAAGCUAAUGGUGUCCGAGUCUGUAGGAGACUCAUUCACCCACUACCCAUGACUUGCAGUCGUGCUAAUAACUGCCCUAAAACAAAAGUAAACCAGCAAAUACAAUAAAAGGAAAUGAUGCUGAAGUAGGAAAAAUGGGCUUGGCUUCUGAACAUGGACAUCAGUCCAUAUAGCGUGAGUUGGGCCUCAGGGUCCGACAGGAUCUUCUAGGCUUAUCAUUGCCCACCCCAUGAAGAGGAUGCUUGUCCUCAAGCAUCAGAUGAGGAAACUGGUGGCAAAGAGUAUCCGUGGACUCCCAGGUGACUUCUUCGUGGGGUAGAUGCUUCCAAUGCACCAAGCUUUCUUCCAUGAAGGUGUCACCCCGCUUAAUCCAUCGUGUAUCAAGUAUCUGUUGAGGUUCAAGGGUUAUGACACCAUUAUCUGCAAGUGGAGGUAAGUCAAGUGGAGUGACAGCUGGAGUGCCAUUGUAUGGUUUAAGCAAAGAGACAUGGAACAUGGGGUGAAUUCGAGCUAUAGGUGGCAAUUGCAGGCGGUAUGCUACUGCUCCGAUUUUCUCCAAAAUAGGAUAGGGUCCAUAGUAGCGGCUGGAUAAUUUUUGAUGAGCUCGUUUGAAGACUGUUUGCUGACGAUAUGGACGGAGCUUUAAUAGGACUUGAUCACCAACUGCGAACUGGAUAUCUCUUCUCUUGGAGUCGGCUUAUUGCUUCAUUCGGUUCAUGGAAAUCUCUAAAUUUGUCUUGAGUUGGUGGAGCAGCUCGUCACGAUGCAGGAGCGUUUGAUCCACUUCAUGAACUGGGGAAAGGCCCUCCGGAUAGGCUGGGAUAAGUGGUGGAAGGCGGCCAUAAAGAGCUUGGUAAGGUGUCAUUUUUGUUGAGGCGUGGUAGGUGGUAUUGUACCAAUACUCUGCCCAAGCGAGAUAAGUACUCCAUUUUCGCGGCCAUUGGUGAACGAAGCAGCGCAAAUAUUGUUCAACACAGCGGUUAACAACUUCAGUUUGGCCGUCUGUUUGUGGAUGGUAAGCUGAACUGAGCAUGAUUUUGGAGCCGAAGAGUUUGAAGAAUUCUUGCCAGAAUUUGCUGAUGAAGAUUGGGUCGCGAUCACUGAUGAUGGAGCGUGGCAUUCCAUGGAGUUUGACAUUUCCCUCAAUAAAGUUUUCUGCAACAACUUUGGCCGUAAAUGGGUGAGUUAAGGGAAUAAAGUGGGCAAACUUACUGAGCCUAUCAAUGACCACCAGAAUUGUGUCUUUGCCAUGAGAAGUGGGCAACCUUUCAAUGAAGUCGAGAGUGAUGUCCUCCCAAACCUGUGCAGGAAUUGGUAAGGGCUGUAAUAAUCCCGCCGGUGCCUUGGUCUCUGGUUUAAUGCGUUGACAUACCUCACAUUUCUGGACAUACUCUUGAACAACUUUAUGCAUCUUUGGCCAAUAAAAUUGUUGCUGCAAUCUUCUAUAAGUUCGAAGGAUCCCCGAGUGCCCUCCAACUUUAGAAUCGUGAACUUCAUACAACAAUUUAGCCCUUAAAGAGUGAUCAGCAGGCACCACAACCUUCCCUUUGUAAAGCAGCAAACCAUCACGCCAAGUCAAGUUGCCAUGAGGAGGAUCACCCGCCUUUUUUCCCAAAAGCUGCACAUAGGAAUCUGAUUUAGAGGCCUCGCGGAUCUGCUUCCAAAUAUCCACCUCCGAAAAAUGAAGAGCAGCCAAUAAUGGGCUUUCUUGCCGCCUAGAUAAAGCAUCUGUAGCAGAGUUUUCACGACCCGGUCGAAAGAUGAUUUCAUAAUCGUACCCCAGUAAUUUGGCCACCCAUUUUUGCUGCUCCGGAGUUGCAACACGCUGAUCUAAGAAAAAUUUGAGGCUUCGUUGAUCGGUUUUGAUGUAGAAUUUGCGGCCAAGUAAAUAUGGUCUCCACAUCCGUAUUGCUUCCACGAUGGCUAGCAUUUCCUUUGCAUAGAUUGACCAAGUUUGCUUAGUGAUUCCCAAGGCUCGGCUCAUAUAGGCAAUUGGUCUAUUUUGUUGAGUUAGAACAGCGCCAAUUUCGUUUCCCGAUGCAUCCGUUUCAAUGUGAAAGGUUCGGAAAAGUUUGGCAUGGCUAGUGUGGGGAUGGAUGUCAUGGCUUGUUUCAAAGCUAAGAAAGUCGCUUCCGUUUCGUCAUUCCAUUGAAAAUUCCCUUUUUUGAGGAGGUUAGUUAAUGGUCGAGCUAUUAAUCCAUACCCUUGAACAAACUUGCGGUAGUAGCCGGUGAGGCCUAAGAAUCCAUGGAGCUCGGUAAUGUUGGAGGGUCUUGGCCAAGCAACCAUUGCUUCAAUUUUCUUUUCAUCAACUUUGACUCCACGAUGUGUAAUUAUGUGGCCCAAAUACUCUAGCUCUUGUUUGCCGAAUGCACAUUUGCUCAUCUUGACGUAGAAUUGGUGUUGCCGAAGGACGGCUAAUGUAAGUUGGACAUGCUCCAAGUGCUGCUCCCAUGUCGGACUGUAAAUUAAAAUGUCAUCAAAAAACACCAAGAUGAACUUCCGCAAAUACGGUCGAAAAAUCGAGUUCAUUAUUGCUUGGAAUGUAGAUGGUGCGUUGCAUAGCCCAAAUGGCAUAACCAAGUACUCAUAGUGGCCAUUGUGAGUGCGGAAAGCAGUUUUAGGAAUAUCAGGGGUGCUAACUCGUAUUUGGUGGUAUCCUGCCUUGAGAUCCAGCUUAGUAAAAAAUGCAGCUCCGUGUAACUCAUCAAGCAUAUCAUCUACUGUUGGAAUUGGGAAACGAUCCUUUACGGUGGCAGCGUUUAAUGCUCGGUAGUCUGUGCAGAAUCGCCAUGUGCCAUCUUUUUUCUUCACUAGCAGUACUGGAGAAGAAAAGGGGCUAGUGCUUGGUCGAAUCAACCCUGCAUUGAGCAUGUCUCGAACCUGAUUUUCAAUCUCAGUUUUUUGGAAAUAUGCGUACCUAUAUGGCCUCACAUUAAUAGCUUCGGUUCCGUCUUUGAGUGGUAUUUUGUGAUCAAUUUCGCGUGUUGGUGGUAACUUGGUAGGCGCAGCAAAGACAUCUGAAUAUUCCUCCAGCAAUGCCUGCAUAUCUGAUGAGAGUUCCUCAUUGUUCUGUUGUCCUUCGAGCUGAACAUAUAAAGCAAACACAGCUUGUCGUUGUCGAAAGUCCUUAGUGAAGCCCUGCAAUGUGGUGUCUUGGAUCGGUGGAAUUUCAAUUCCCUGGAGUUUCUUAGGCUGUUGCUCCCAGAUGAAGUCCAUGGUUCGCUUUUUCCAAUCACAAACCACUGAACCCAACGUCUCUAACCACUGAAUGCCUAGCACCAUAUCCAAACCAUUUAAGGGCACAGAAAAGAAGUCGAGGUGGAACUCAUUACCUUGUAAAUUAACCGUGAGCUUCUCAUAUUUCCCUUUACAAGAUAAUCUUUCCCCAUUGGCAACUCGGACAGUAAACGGUGUUGUGGGCUUCACGGGCAAACGAAGCGUUUCGGCUACUCGGUCACUGAUGAAAUUAUGAGUGGAUCCACUAUCGAUUAAGGCAACCACCUCAUGCGCUCCAAUAAUUGCCUUAAUUCGCAUUGUUCUCGGUACAAUCCAUCCAGUUAGUGCAUGUAGAGUGAUCUCGGGCUCCUUUCCGUUGUCAUCUUCCUGAAUCUCGGAUAUUUCCCUUGUCGUGUUUACCCCUCCCAUUUCCUCUGGUGUUUCAUCUUCCUGUAUACAGCCCUCUAGGAGCAUCAACUGUGGUGCUUGACACUUGUGUCCAGGGGUGAACCUUUCAUUGCAGUUGAAACAUAAUCCUUGAGCUCUACGUUUCUGCAUCUCAUCCCAUGACAGCCUUUUGAUUGCCACUUGUGUGGAACCCUUGGGAGGAUUGGGGUUACUUACAGGAACAGAAGCUUGUAAGGCACUCGGCCGUGCGAAUCGCCUCUGUCUCGCAAGCUGAUCGUCCCUCAUUUUCGCCAAGCUAAUUGUCUCUUUCACAGAUUGAGGCUUGAACAUUCUUAUUCCAUCAGCUACCUCUGGUUUCAAGCCUCCCAUGAACGUACCCACAAGAGCCUUUUGGGUCCAUCCACGAACUCGAUUCCCAAGCCGUUCAAAUUCCCGUUGAUAGUCUCGCAAUGUUCCCGUCUGUCUCACUCAGGAUAGCGCUUCGUCGAAGUCUUCAGAAUCAGGGGGUCCAAAACGAGCCCUUACUUCAUCUUCGAAGGCUUCCCACGGGAUACUCCCCUGUCCUUCAGCGAAUGCCUUUCGGAACCACUGCCACCAUUGAUUCGCCUCGCCUUUGAGGUGGAACGAAGCUAGACGCACCUUUUGAUCAGCGGCUAUCUCUUGAAACUCGAAGAACUGGUCCACACGAUUGAGCCAUUCCGUUGGGUCAUCUCCAGAAAAUCUUGGAAAUUCCAACUUUGCAAUCUUGGAAGAAAAUGGCCGGAUGUUUUCGCCGGUAUCUCGGUUGGUUCGGUGGGGUCCUUCUUGCUGAUAAUUAUUAUGGCUAGGUGAUCCUCUGCUUGAGAGGAAUGCUUCAGAUAGUUGUUUUGCAAUAGUUUCUUCUAGUCGUUGGAUCUUGUCGGUGAUUCCCACCUCCAUUCGCUGCAUUCCUUCUUGAACUCCUCCAAGCUUCUCCUCUAGAAGCUCGAUCCGUUCCUUGUUUGUCGUCAUGAACCUGCUCUGAUACCAAUGAUAGGUCCCAAUCAGUACAAGCACAACAAACACAAAGAAAGUAUUCUCUUUGGGUGAGAAUGAACCACAAAUUCAUUAACUUCUCCUCUCCCUUUUCCAUUCUCUUCUUUCCAAAGUUAUACAUCAAAGAAACAACUGAAAUGAAGCUAAUGGUGUCCGAGUCUGUAGGAGACUCAUUCACCCACUACCCAUGACUUGCAGUCGUGCUAUUAACUGCCCUAAAACAAAAGUAAACCAGCAAAUACAAUAAAAGGAAAUGAUGCUGAAGUAGGAAAAAUGGGCUUGGCUUCUGAACAUGGACAUCAGUCCAUAUAGCGUGAGUUGGGCCUCGGGGUCCGACAGGAUCUUCUGGGCUUAUCAAGUUGCAGUGCGUUUCAUAUCAUAAACCGAAAUUCCACAGUUUGGUUUGCAUCUGCUUAAGUAUUUGUUUGCCAUAUGUUCAAUAAUGUGGACAUACCUGUAGGGUAGGGUAGGGUAGGUGGAAAAUAUUCUUCUUUGUUUAUGUGGACAUUUGGACCAUUAGUAGAGUAACUGACAGGCCAUGUUCAUCUGCCUCUUUAUUGUAUCCAAGGGCCUCCCUAUUUGGUGACAAGGUUCUUCGUUGUUGACCAAAACUACUCUGCUUGAUUUGCAUCUGCUUUCAUUCAUUUUUCUUUGAUCCUGUAUUCACUUCCCUUGCAAACCAACAGACAUGGUCGGGGCUAUAGUAGGAGGAGCAUUUCUCUCCGCUUCUAUCCAAGUUCUACUUGACAGGUUGGCUUCUCGCAAUGUCCUCACCUUCCUCCGGGGACAGAAACUCAGUGCUACGCUCCUAAGGAAGUUGAAGAUAAAAUUGGUGGCAGUUCAGGCAGUGCUCGAUGACGCUGAGGCCAAGCAAUUCACAAAAUCAGCUGUAAAAGAUUGGAUGGAUGACCUGAAAGAUGCUGUGUAUGAUGCAGAGGACCUGUUGGAUGAGAUAACCACUGAAGCUCUACGCUGCAAAAUGGAGUCUGAUGCUCAAACCAGCGCAACUCAGGUACGUGACAUCACCUCUGCCUCGCUUAAUCCGUUUGGUGAGGGAAUCGAGUCCAGGGUAGAGGAGAUCACUGACAAACUAGAAUUUCUUGCACAAGAAAAAGAUGUUCUGGGAUUGAAAGAAGGCGUUGGAGAAAAAUUGUCACAAAGAUGGCCCGCGACUUCCUUGGUAGAUGAGUCUGGGGAGGUGUACGGAAGGGAAGGUAAUAUACAGGAGAUAGUUGAAUAUUUAUUGUCCCAUAAUGCAAGUGGGAAUAAGAUAAGUGUGAUCGCCCUGGUGGGUAUGGGCGGUAUUGGAAAGACCACACUUACUCAACUGGUCUAUAAUGAUAGGAGGGUGGUGGAAUGUUUUGACCUUAAAGCUUGGGUUUGUGUUUCCGAUGAAUUUGAUCUUGUCAGGAUAACGAAAACCAUUCUUAAGGCAAUCGAUUCUGGGGCUUCUGAAAAAUAUUCUGAUGAUAGUGAUUUGAAUCUGCUUCAACUUAAAGUGAAGGAGAGACUUAGUAAGAAGAAAUUCUUACUUGUCCUUGAUGAUGUUUGGAAUGAAAACUAUACUAAUUGGCAUAUGCUACAAACUCCAUUGACGGUUGGUCUAAAUGGAAGUAAGAUUAUUGUGACUACACGUAGUGAUAAGGUUGCAUCGAUCAUGCGUUCAGUUCGUAUUCAUCAUUUGGGACAGUUAUCCUUUGAGGACUGCUGGUCGCUAUUUGCAAAACAUGCAUUUGAAAAUGGAGAUUCUAGUCUACAUUCAGAACUAGAAGAAAUUGGCAAAGGGAUUGUAAAGAAGUGUAAAGGAUUGCCUUUGGCUGCAAAGACCCUAGGGGGUUCCUUAUACUCAGAGUUACGAGUAAAAGAAUGGGAAAAUGUGUUGAAUAGCGAAAUGUGGGAUUUACCGAAUGAUGAAAUUCUCCCCUCCUUAAGGUUAAGCUAUUCUUUUCUUCCUUCACAUUUAAAGCGGUGUUUUGGAUAUUGCUCAAUUUUUCCUAAGGACUACGAAUUUGAAAAGGAAAAUUUGAUUCUAUUAUGGAUAGCAGAAGGUUUUUUGCAACAAUCUGAAGGCAAGAAAACAAUGGAAGAGGUAGGUGAUGGGUACUUUUAUGACCUAUUAUCAAGGUCAUUUUUUCAGAAGUCUAGUACCCAGAAAUCAUAUUUUGUAAUGCAUGAUCUCAUCAAUGACUUGGCUCAGCUUGUUUCCGGAAAAUUUUGUGUUCAAUUGAAGGAUGGUAAGAUGAAUGAAAUUCUUGAAAAGCUUCGACACUUAUCAUAUUUUAGAAGUGAAUAUGACCACUUUGAGAGAUUUGAGACCCUUAAUGAAGUUAAUUGUCUGCGGACCUUCUUGCCAUUGAAUUUGAGGACUUGGCCUCGGUUUGACAAGGUUUCAAAGAAUAGAAAUCUAAAUGCUACUAAGUAUAUUGUAGAUUUUCAGUUGAGUAAUAGAGUUUGGACUGGUUUAUUAUUGAAAGUUCAAUAUUUACGAGUAUUAUCAUUGUGCUACUAUAAGAUAACGGAUUUGUCUGAUUCAAUUGGUAAUUUGAAACAUUUGCGCUAUUUGGACCUUACCUACACACUUAUCAAAAGGUUACCGGAGUCGGUUUGUAGUUUGUAUAACUUACAAACAUUGAUAUUAUACCGUUGUAAAUUUCUGGUUGAAUUGCCUAAAAUGAUGUGCAAAAUGAUUAGCUUACGUCAUCUUGAUAUCAGGCAUAGCAAAGUGAAAGAGAUGCCAAGUCACAUGGGUCAAUUAAAAAGUUUACAAAAAUUGAGUAACUAUAUAGUGGGCAAGCAAAGUGGGACAAGGGUUGGAGAGUUGCGGAAGCUUUCCCACAUUGGUGGGAGUCUUGUCAUUCAAGAGCUGCAGAAUGUGGUUGAUGCUAAGGAUGCCUCAGAAGCCAAUUUGGUAGGCAAGCAAAAUCUGGAUGAGUUAGAGUUGGAAUGGCAUUGUGGCAGUAAUGUUGAACAAAAUGGAGAAGACAUAGUGCUCAACAACUUACAACCUCAUUCAAACUUAAAGAGACUCACUAUUCAUGGUUAUGGUGGUUCAAGAUUUCCAGAUUGGUUAGGUCCUUCAAUUCUGAAUAUGUUGUCGCUACGUCUCUGGAAUUGUAAGAAUGUGUCAACCUUUCCACCGCUUGGGCAGCUACCCUCUCUUAAACAUUUAUAUAUAUUGGGGUUGAGGGAGAUAGAAAGGGUGGGAGUUGAGUUUUAUGGCACUGAGCCCUCCUUUGUAUCCCUAAAAGCUCUAUCAUUUCAGGGUAUGCCAAAAUGGAAGAAAUGGUUGUGCAUGGGAGGCCAAGGUGGAGAAUUCCCCCGUCUCAAGAAGCUUUAUAUAGAGGAUUGUCCCCGGCUAAUUGGGGACUUCCCAACCCAUCUGCCUUUCUUGAUGACAGUACGGAUUGAAGAAUGUGAGCAGCUUGUGGCUCCACUUCCAAGGGUUCCAGCCAUCCGUCAAUUGACGACGCGCAGCUGUGACAUCUCACAGUGGAAGGAACUACCACCACUACUGCAGUAUCUCUCAAUUCAAAAUUCCGACUCUUUGGAGUCCCUACUAGAGGAGGGAAUGUUGCAAAGUAAUACUUGUCUUCGAAAGUUGAGAAUCAGAAAAUGUUCUUUUUCGAGACCGUUGUGCAGAGUUUGUUUGCCUUUUACAUUGAAAUCAUUAUCUAUAGAGGAGUGUAAGAAACUAGAGUUUCUCCUACCUAAGUUCUUAAAAUGUCACCACCCUUCCCUUGCCUAUUUUGGGAUCUUCAGUAGUACUUGCAAUUCUCUCUCAUCCUUCCCGCUCGGCAACUUCCCAAGUUUAACUUACCUCAGUAUCUGCGAUCUCAAGGGGCUUGAAUCCCUCUCCAUUUCAAUUUCAGAGGGCGAUGUUACAUCUUUUCAUGCGUUGAACAUCAGAAGGUGCCCUAACCUUGUGUCUAUUGAAUUGCCAGCUCUCGAGUUCUCACGAUAUUCCAUCCUCAAUUGCAAGAAUCUCAAGUGGCUGCUGCACAACGCUACAUGCUUUCAGUCAUUAACAAUAGAAGGUUGUCCUGAAUUGAUAUUCCCAAUACAAGGUCUGCAAGGGCUGUCCUCUCUUACCUCUCUCAAAAUCUCAGAUCUUCCAAAUCUCAUGUCCCUUGACAGUUUGGAGCUUCAACUGCUCACCUCUCUUGAAAAAUUAGAGAUCUGUGACUGCCCCAAGCUCCAAUUCUUGACAGAAGAGCAGCUGGCCACCAACCUUUCUGUUCUAACAAUCCAGAACUGCCCAUUGCUGAAAGAUCGGUGCAAGUUUUGGACAGGGGAAGAUUGGCAUCAUAUAGCUCACAUUCCACACAUUGUGAUCGAUGACCAAGUUUUGUAAUGAAAGUGGCAUUACACCAAUUUAUAGUCAGGUACUUGUUCUGUCCUAGAAAUGAUUGUCUCAGGAAAACUAACAUACUUAAAUACCAAUUUUGAUUUGAUCCAUUAUAAAUAGGAAAAAUAUGCUUUAAAUUUUCUAAUUAUUAAAACAAUUUUUUGCUUUCUUUCAGGUCAUCUGUGAUGCUUCACUCUGGCUCUGAUCAACGUAUCUUCAUAAGGAAUCUUUUAAGACUCCCUUCCUUAAUUAGUGCCUUGUCAAAUGCUUCAGAUUUCAUUUAGAGUGAAUUGAUGCUUAAAAGCCAAGCAGCUCUGCAGGUCUGAUUUUGUAAAUUGUGUUUCUUGUAUAAUUUUAUGGACCUUGGAUUUGUUUUCAGUGGCUAAUUUGCUGAAAUCUGAUGGCAGGCCUUUGAUCCUUGUUCCCUCAACAAACUCUAGCUGUCUAGCAAUGAUUUCCAAAGGGACCAUUUUUUUGUUGAGUGUUCUGGUUCAUGACUCUCUUUUUGGACAACAGUAGCCGAGAUUUUUUGCACCCAAAGAAUCAUGAGUUGAUACUCUGCUGGAGGAACUACAGAAGCUCAGGUCUGUUGGAGAGUGGAGCAUGCAGCAGGCUCUAUGAUUCCAAUUAGUGAGACAUUUCAAUUGCUUUGGUUUAACUUUCUAAGCUACAAAUUACAAUACUUAUAAUCUCAUAUGCAUUAUUUUUCAGGUUCUUUGAGGUUGCAUCUGUGUUGAUAUCUUAGUUCUUCUCUAAAAACAACAGGUCUGUUUCUUUUGAUUCAUACUUUUCAUAAGCUGACACAUUGUGGAGUUCCAUCAUUUUCAACACCAGAUAAACCUAAUACUAAAUUCUACUGAAGCUAAAACAAAAAUCUUACUGCCUGAGGUUCUGUCUUUCAUGCAUUUUAUUCACUAUGUUCAUAUGGCAUCUAAGCAACCUAGACAUUAACAUUUUCCUUAGUCUACAUACUGUUUUCAUCUCUUUCAUCUUUGAUUAAUCUGCAGAUGUUCAGUUCAGGCACCUCAAACUCAAAAUCUUCAGCUUCUGUCAUGCCAUCUCCUUCUCAUUUACAUGAUUGUCAUCCACCUUUGAGCUUUACUUUGUUAAUGGUAAGAUAGUCAUAAUAGUACUACAAUAGUUGAGCAUGGAUGGAGAACAAUGCAUGCUUUCAGUCUUUAACAUUACAUGGUUGUCCUGAAUUGAUAUUCCCAAUGCAGGGUCUUCCCUCCAACCUAAAUUCACUUACAAUGACAAACUGCAACAAACUUACAUCCCACAUGGACUGGCCUGCAAGGGCUGGCCUCUCUUAGCUCUCUCAAAAUCUCAGGCAUUCCAAAUCUCAGGUCCCUGGACAGUUUGGGGCUUCAACUGCUCACCUCUCUCCAAAAAUUAGAGAUCUGUGACUGCCCCGAGCUCCAAUCCUUGACAGAAAAGCUGCUGCCCACCUCCCUUUCUUUUCUAACAAUCCAUAACUGCCCACUGCUGAAAGGUCAGUGCAAGUUUUGGACAAGGGAAGACUCGCAUCAUAUAGCACACAUUCCAAACAUUGUGAUUGAUGACCAAGUAAUGUAAUGAAGGUAGCAUUACACUAAUUUUUAGUCAAGUACUGGUUCUGUCCUUACAGUAAUUUUCUCAGGAAAACUGAUAUGCUUAAAUACCAAUUUUAAUUUGAUCCAUCAUAAAUGGGAAAAAUUUGCUUUAAAUUUUCUAAUUAUUAUAAUAAUUUCUUGCUUCUUUCAGGUUAUCAGUAAUUCUUCUCUCUUGUAAAUUGAUGCUUCAUAUCUUCACAAGGAAUCUUCUUUUAAUAAAUAAUGCCUUGUCAAAUGCUUCAGUUCAGAUUUCAUCUAGCAAUUGAUGCUUAAAAGCCAAGCAGCUGUGCAGGUCUGAUUUCGUAACUUGCGUUUCUUGUAUAAUUUUAUGGACCUUGAAUUCGUUUUCAUUGGCUAAUUCACUGAAACUCAUGGAAGGCCUCUGAUCCUAGUUUUAUUAAUAAAUUUGAGCUGUCUAGCAACAAUCCUUCCAAUGGGACCUUUUUUUAUUGAGUUCAAAGACUCUUUCUGGAAGAUUGUAGCAGAUAUUUUUUAGCAUCCAAAGACUCAUGAUUGAUACUAGGCUUGAGGAACUGAGAGAGCUCAACUCUGUUAGAGAGUGGGGCAUGCAGCAUGCUCUAUGAUUCCCUUAGUAAGAUAUUUUAAUUGCUUUUGUUUGACUUUCUAAGCUACAAAUUACAAGGAUUUAUAAUUCCAUGUGCCUUAUUUUUUAGGUUCUCUGUGUUAAUAUUCUAGUUCUUCUCUAGAAAAAAACAGGUAUGUUUCUUCUGUGUUAAUACUUUUCAUAAGAUGACACAUUGUGGAGUUCCAUCAUAUGCAUGACAAGAUAAACCCAAUUCUAAAAUCAACUCAGGCUAAAACAAAAUAUCUUACUAACUGAAGUUCUCUCCUUAAUAAUUCUAUUCACCAUGUCCAUAUGGCAUCUUAGCGCCGUAAAUGUUAACAUUUUCCUUAGUGUAAUCAUUGUUUUAGCUUCAAUUAAUUUGCAGAUGUCCAGUUUAGACACCUCAAACUCAAAAUCUUCUGCUUGUGACAGGCCACCACUUCCUAGUCUUUGCUCAUUUCCUUCCCAUUUAAUUAUUGUCAUCAACCUCUGAUUUUUUUAUGUCGUUAAUAGUAAAAGAAUCAUAAUUGUACUACAUUAGUUGAGCGUGGAUGCUACAAUUUAAUUUCCAUAUUCAAGUUUUUCUUAUACUUACAAAUGAUAAUGUGAGCUCUAGAUUUUCUUCUUUCAAAUUUGUGAUUAUGAGGAAGAUACUUGGAGUAGAGAGGAGCCAAACCAUAUUCAAAGUCACAGCACUGCAGAAUAUGGUUUUGUUCCACCAAGUUCAGGUCAGUUGGGUGGAAUCUUAUUAAUACUUCAAGGACACAUUUUCCAAACUUGAUGACUGCCUCUAACCUGAACUAAGUAUUUUUUUUACCAGCUUUGUGUUAAGAAAUUGUGAACGUGUUGGAUCUGCUCAUACAACCUCCCUCCAUGAUGAAUUUUAACUACUCAAUACUUGAAGGAUGGCUACUCAACUGAAUUCUAUUUAUUGGAGCACGAUUUGAGCUUUUCUUCCUUACCCAGGUAUAGUGCUAUAAAAUUUUCAGUCUAAAGAGUAUUUAUAACCCCAUAUGAAUUUUAAUGUCAGAUUCAGUUGAUUAGCAUGUGACCAUUAUUAUUUUCAGAUGGUAGCAUUUUGAAUCAUUGGAACAAUUGCAGGAGGAAGCUUUGCCAAAGCCUCCCUAUGCAAUACAUGGGCCUUUGGUUGCAAGUGAGAUUCGAGGAUUCUAUUUUCUCUUGGAAGACUUCAACUCAUUUUUUUUGAGUUUUGAACUUUGAGCUUUUACUUCCAAGCAUGUGCAAAGAAGAAAGAGAGCAACAACAAAGGUCCGCUUAUAGAAGUUUUAUAUGGAGUGAGACUCCCAUGAAAAAUAUUGUAGCUAUUGGUUUGUCAACCUUGAAGGUUAUAGUUCUGUUUCCCAUUGGAUCUUUAAGGAGUGCGUCUGUUGAAUCAUAUAUUUUGAACUUACUACUGACUUUGUGUAUAUACACACAUGUAAAUGAUGUUUUCUUCUUCAUUCAUGUGGAAUUUGAUUCUCUAGUGCAUGUUGAAAAGUUAUAAGUUUGUUCCAGGGUUUUACUUGAAGUGAGGUUAGAUAUGCCCUUUUUUUGCAUUUUGGUGUAUAAAAGAGUUUACAUCAUAGGCAAAUCACUUCCAAUCCAACUUCUUUUUAACAUUUUUGAUUCCUUUUAUCCUCCUCAAGGUGACUUAGGUGCAAAUUGGGCUUUUGGGUUAAUUUAAUAGUUUCACAUUUCUGAGUCCUUGUUUUCAAGAUUUUAAGGAGCAUUAGGUGGCUCAUGAUGAAUGCAAUUGGAUGGAUUCAGCUUCCUCAAGAUGUUUGAACAUAUACCCAAGUGAAACUCUCAAACAAGUUUUGACAUUAUUUUUGGAUAAUUAAUCAAAAUAAUAAUUUUUGAAAGAAAUAUCUAUCAAUUUUAGUCCAAUAAUUAUUUUGACUAACUAUUAAAAGUGAUUUUUAGGAUUUUAUAGAGUAAUAAGUUUUAAAAAGAAGGCAGUUUUAAAAUUUAAAAAGUGCCUUUAAGAGUCUACUUGGUAAUCUUUUAAAAAACAAUUCUCAGAUCAAUUUUAAAAAUAAGUCCAAUUAUUUUUAUAAUAAAAUAGUCUUGUUAGAAAUACUGAACAAUUGUAUUGUAUUUCAUAGGAGAAAGAAUAUACAUCAGUGCCUUUAUAUAGGAGGCAUAUGUGUGCGGUACAAGUAACCUAACUGGGCCUAAAGCCCAUAACAUAAUAUACCCAUAUAAUAUACCCAUAAUAUACAUUAACAGCCCCCCUCAAACUCAAGGUGGAUGUGAGACCAACUUGAGGUUGUCAAUUAAAUCACGAGUACGUCUUGUAGGAAGUGACUUGGUGAAGAUAUCUGCAAGCUGAUCUUUGAAGGAGACGAAGAAAAGCUUAAGAGCACCAUGGACAAGAUGAUAACGGAUAAAAUGACAAUCAAUCUCGAUGUGUUUAGUCCGUUCAUGAAAGACAUCAUUGUGAGCAAUAUGAAUGGCACUCUGGUUGUCACAAUAAAGGGGAGUAGCAGAGGAGGUGGACACACCCAAAUCCUUAAGAAGCCAUCUUAGCCAAAGGAGCUCAGAUGUGGUAUCAGCAAGGGCACGAUAUUCUGCUUCAGUACUGGAGCGGGCCACAAAAGUUUGUUUCUUACUUCUCCAAGAAAUCAAAGAAGAACCAAGAAGGAAGCAGUAACCUGUAGUGGACCUGCGAUCAGUAGGAUCUCCUGCCCAAUCAGCAUCAGAGAAUGCACGGAGUACAAGAGGAGAUUGAGCUGAGUAGAAAAGGCCAUGAAAAAUGGUACCCUUCAGGUAUCGAAGAAUGCGCAGAACAGCAGCAUAGUGAGUUGAUCGUGGAGCAGACAAAUACUGGCUCACCUGAUGAACAGCAUAGGAGAUGUCUGGACGAGUAACUGUGAGAUAAACUAAGCUGCCAACCAAUCGUCUGUAAAGAGAAGGAUUGGACAAUGGUUUCCCCCCGGAGGGUGUCAGAUGCGCAUUAAGUUCGAUUGGAGUGUCAACAUUCUUACUGUCAGUGAGUCCGACUUGAGACAGCAGAUCAGAAGCAUACUUGGCUUGAGUAAUAUAAAGACCAUAUGUGGAAUGAGUAAUUUCAAGACCCAGGAAAUAGCUGAGAUGUCCAAGAUCUUUCAUCUCAAACUGCUGACUGAGAAAAUCCUUGAGUUCUUGAAUGCCACUAAGGUCAUUACCAGUUAUGAUCAUAUCAUCCACAUGUAGAAGAAGCAAAAUAGUGCCUUUAUCAGUACGAUGAAGAAAUAAGGCAGAAUCAUACGGACUGGCAGUGUAACCCAAGCGAAAAAUAGUGGAGCUGAACUUGGCAAACCAAGCUCGUGGGGCUUGUUUAAGACCAUAAAGUGCACGUCGAAGAUGACAAACCUUGUUUGAUUCAACAAAGAGACUAGGAGGAGGUUGCAUAUAGACUGCUUCACUCAGAUCCCCAUUAAGGAAGGCAUUUUUAACAUCCAUCUGAAAAAGGUCCCAUUGACGAGCAGCAGCAACAGCUAAGAGAGCACGAACAGAUGAGAUACGAGCAACUGGAGCAAAAGUCUCUUCAUAAUCAAUCCCAUAUUCCUGUGUAAAGCCUUUGGCAACAAGACGAGCCUUGUAGCGCUCAACGGAUCCAUCAGAGCGAGUCUUGAUCUUAUAGAUCCACUUACAACCAACCACAGACUGUCCAGGAGGGAGAGGAACCAGGUCCCAAGUAUGGUUUUUGGUUAAUGCAUCAAGUUCCUCUUUCAUAGCAAUCUGCCAUAAAGGGUCAGUAGAGGCCUCACGAUAGGUUUGAGGCUCGUGAAGUGUAGCAAGGGCAGUGUAACAAUGAUAGUCAAGUAGGUGUGGAGGAAUGGAUCUUACCCGGGUUGAGUGGCGAGGUGGAAUGUCUUGUGGAGGAUCUUCAGGCAGAGUAGGAGCAGGGGACCCAGUCUCAAAGUGGGGUAGCUCGUCAUCAAUCUGUUCAUCUGCAACCUGUCUAGGAGAAGCAUCAAAAAUAUCUGGAGAGAAGUCCAAAGGAGGAUCAAAAGUAUUUGUAGAAGGAACAAGAGACUCAUCUGGAAAGAUUUCUAAAACAGAGGAGUUAGUCAAGGAAGAAUGAAAGUGAGAGAGUUCAACAAACAAUCGAUGUUCCCAAAAAACAACAUUAUGAGAAACACGAAGACGAUGAGAGACAGGAUCAUAACACCUAUACCCCUUUUGAGUUUCACCAUAACCAAGGAAACAACAGAGUCUAGAGCGAGGCUCAAGUUUGUUGUGCUCAUGAGACUGAAGAAGAACAAAACAAGCAGAUCCAAAUGAGCGAAGGUGAUGAUAGACAGGGGGUGACCCAAAGAGACGCUCAUACGGAGUCUGAUUAUGGAUGACAGCACUUGGAAUACGGUUAAUUGCAUGAACAGCAUGAAGAGCCGCUUCACCCCAAAAUGGGGCAGGAAUUUUGGCAGAAAGAAGCAGAGCACGAAUAGUGUCAAGAAUAUGACGAAGUUUUCUUUCGGCUCGACCAUUUUGCUGAGAGGUACCUGGACAAGUUAGAUGAUGUACAAUGCCAUAGGAAUGUAACAGAGCUUGAAACGCAUGUUGAGUAUAUUCAAGAGCAUUAUCAGAUCGAAAAGUUUUGAUACGUUUGGAGAAUUGUGUUUCAAUCAUUUUUGCAAAAUUGCUAUAUAUUGAUAAAAUUUCGGAACGAGAUUUCAUAGGGAAAAUCCAACUAUAACGAGAAUAAUCAUCAAUAAAAACAACAAAGUAUCGAGAUCCACCAAUACUAGCAACAGGAGAAGGUCCCCAAACAUCAGAAUGAAUUAACUCAAAAAUACUAUUAGAAAUGGAUUCACUGUUAUUAAAAGGCAAAGCUGGCUGUUUUCCUAACUGACAAGAAGUACAAUAAAAAAUGUCUUUAGACACAGAACCCAACAGACCCCUAGACACUAACUGUUGUACCCGAGAAGAUGAUGCAUGACCAAGACAAAAAUGCCAAAGUGCAAGAGAAGGUAAGGAAGAAACUGCAGCAGCUGCAGUAGCAAUAGAAACAGAAGCAACAGGUGGAAGAUGAAGAUUGCUCACGGGAAACAUACACCCAACUCUAGGACCGGUCCCAAGCUCCUGCCCCGUCCUUGGAUCCUGCACAAUACACCCAGAAUAGUCAAAAAUAAGGCGAUGACCUAGUUCAGCUAAUUGUCCCACAGAGCACAAAUUAUAGGAUAGGUCAGGAACAUGGAAGACUCCAGGAACAGAAAGAUUAGAGGUUGAAACAAAACCUAGACUAUUCCCAUGCAUGGUGGAACCAUCAGCUAUAUGAAUAUUUAGAGGAUGUGGUGCAGGGUCAAGUUUGGAGAAUAGGGAUGAGUGAGGUGUCAUGUGAUUGCAGCAGGCAGAAUCAAAAAGCCAAGUUUGAGACUUACCAGGUAGAACAGAUAAGGUAGUGGAAAGAGAUGCAUUACUAGCCAUACGAACAGCCUGAGCUAUGAUCUCCUGUAGUUCAGUGGAGGAGAGGUUGAUAGUAGAUCCAGAAGACUUGGACUCAACUGAGGUGGAAGCCAUUGGCGGAGUAGGCUCAAUAUUAGCAACAGCAGCAGUAGAUUUGUUACGACGGUAACAAGUCUCAAUGGUGUGGCCAGGACGCUUGCAAUAGUUGCAGAACUUUUUGUUGGUCUGCUUGCGACGAUUGCUAGAACCAUAAGAAUCACCUGAUUGCUGGGGUUGCUCUAUGAGUGGAGUAGAUGGAGUAAUAGCCAAAACAUUGAACUUAUUCUGGGCUUGAAGGGUUGCAAGACAAGCUUCUUCUCUAACCAACUCAUUUACAGCAGUAUCAAGAGAGGGAGUAGGACUGCGAUUGAGUAGCUGACCACGAAUGGGCUCAAAGUCCUUGUGAAGUGACAUCAAGAAUUCAUAGAGGCGAAAUUCAUCUCUAAUGGAAGCAUAUUGCUGAGCAUCUUUUGAGCAUGUCCAAGUUGGAUCAGAAAGGUCAAUUUGGUCCCAAAUAAAGCGAAGCUGAUCAUAAUAGUCAUUGAUGGAUUGCCUUGGUUCUUGCCUGAGUUGAUGUAAUUCAACCACUAAUUGAUAUUUUAGGGAUCCAUGAGUAGUGGAGUACCUUUUGGCCAACAUAUCCCAUGCAGAUUUUGCAUCAUCAAAGCUGCCCAUCAGAUUGGAAAUAGAGGGAAUGGAAGUGUUCCGAAUCCAUGUGAGGAUCAUGUGGUUAUGACUAUCUCAUUCAAUCAUGCGAUUAAGAAAAACAGCAUCUCCUUCACUUGCUCCCUUGACAGGAAUAGUCAUUACACCAGUACAAUAAUGCCAGAGCAUGCGACCCUUAAGAAAACUGCGCAUAGCUUGAGACCAAGAUAAGUAAUUUUUAUUUCCCUCCAAUACAGUAUUGAUGGGGCUAGAAAGAAAAAUAUCCUUUUUAUCCAUUUAGAGACACAAUAUGCAAAAACAGACUGCAAAAGUGAAAUCUACGCGAAAAACUGGGUAAGGAGAACCUGGUCAGCCCUGGAAAAGUCAACGGUCAACACUGGUAAAAGUCAACGGUCAACAUUGGUCCACGUGGGGGUCACGGUCAAAGUCAACGGUCAACGAUGGCAAAGUCAAUGGUCAAAGCGGGUCAACGGUCAACGCUGGUCAACGGAUGACGUGGAGAUGAUGUCAGCUAGGGCUAACGUGGCACUGACGCGUUAGUAGUUGUGACGUAGCUAGGGCUGACGUGGCAGAGAGAAUGACGUACGGGCUCCGAGGGCGACGAGGUUUCCACGAAUGUGUAGAUCGGCGUUGGACGAUCUCAGUGGUACCGUCAAAAUUGAAAUCGGAGCAAUAUUCGCAGCGGUGAUGCGAAAAACAGUGAUCUUGUGCGGUGUGAAACUCCUUAAGGACUGCAGGUCCGGAACCCAAGGACGACGCCUGGAUGACGUCAGAGGUUCAACGGCAAAAGGCUGUGACGACAGUUGUGAUUGGCAGAAGCGUUAAAAAGAAAGGAAGUCACACUAAUGAAGACAGACUGCUAAGAAAGGGUCAGAGCAGUGGCUCUGAUACCAUGUUAGAAAUACUGAACAAUUGUAUUGUAUUUCAUAGGAGAAAGAAUAUACAUCAGUGCCUUUAUAUAGGAGGCAUAUGUGUACGGUACAAGUAACCUAACUGGGCCUAAAGCCCAUAACAUAAUAUACCCAUAUAAUAUACCCAUAAUAUACAUUAACAAGUCUUCUUAAUUCAUAAAGGUCAAAAGUUCCUAUUUUCUAUAUUUUAUAUGGAUGCAAAGGACGCUCUAUACUAUUUUAAAAAUCUAUCCCCAGAAGUUAUUUUGAUUAGGUUAUUUUUAAAACGCUUUUUCUUUUUUUUUUUUAAAAAAAAGGAUAAGUUAUUUUUAAAAAUAAUUUUUUAUUUUGAUUUUGUAAAAAACAAAUUGUUAAUUCAAUUUAAAUAAUAUAAAAUAAAUUUAAUUCAAGUAUUAUUAAACAAAAAAAUAAUUUUUUAAUUACAAAUAAACUAAAAUAAAUAAAUAGUUUUUAAUAAAAUAUGAAUAAUAAUAUUAUAAUAAAUCAUAAAUUACAUUUUUUUUAUAUAAAUAUUAUUAAAAUAUAGAUAUUAACAUCUUAUAAAAGCAUUAUUUAUUUUGUUGAAACUAAAUAACAAUAAUAUAAAAUUAAUAAUUGCUAAUACUAUUUUUAAAAAUCAUUAAACUUAUGACUUUGCUUUUAAAAAAUUGUACUCAAGAACAACAACCAAACAAUGGUAUUAAUUUUUAAAAACAAUUUUAUUUUUAAAUCAUAAGCCCAAAUAGUUUUUUAUUAUUUAGCAAAACAAAAAACCCUCAAAGUUGUUUUUUUCUUAAUUGAAAAUAAAAAAUUAUUUUAAAUUCAGAUUUAAAAGAAGGAAAAUAAAAUAUUAUUUUAAACUAUACAUAAAUAUUGCCUUUUUUUUUCAUUCCCGUUCCAUUAUUACUUAACAUUAAAAUGGAAAUUAACAAAUAUACAUCCAAGUACAAGAAUUGAAAUAACCAAAUUAUUCAUCCCUAUUCAAUGACAAGUAAGAAUGGAAAGAAAAUUUUCAUUCUCAGUACUUAUUCUCAUGUACCAAAUAUUAUCUCAAAGAUUUGAGACCCUUAAUGAAGUUAAUGUUCUUCGGACCUUUUUACUAUUAAAUUUUAGGACUUGGCCUCAGUAUGAUAAGAUUUCAAAGGUUAUAUAUCCAUCGGAUGGGCGUAAAUAUCUUCUACAGAUAUGCUUGAGUAAUAGAGUUUUGGAGUGAUUUAUUAAUAAAGUCCAAUAUUUACCGAGUGUUGUCACUGUGAUAUUUAGACCUUACCUCCACAUCCACCAAAAGUUAUUUGAAUCAGUUUGCAGUUUGUAUAACUUACCAACAUUGAUACUAUAUUAUUGUGGUUCUCUUGUUGAAUUGCCUGCAGUGAUGUGCAAAUUGAUUAGGUUGCAUCAUCUUGAUAUUAGUCAUAGUGGAAUGCACGAGAUGCCAAGUCAAAUGGAUCACUUUUUACAAAAAUUGAGUAACUAUAGAGCGGGCAAGCAAAGUGGGAACAGGGUUGCAGAGUUGAGGGAGCUUUCCCACAUUGGUGGAAGUUUUCAAGUGGUGCGGGUGGUGGUAGAGGUAGAGGGUAUGCCUUCAAGUGGGUCCUCUAGACCACGAGUUGGAGUUCAUGCACGCGUUCUUUAAUUUUGAAGGAUUUGCAAAGAAACUUUCAAAUAUCCAAAAUCUUAAAUUAAAAAAAUAAAAAAAUAAAAAAAAUAAAAAGGACCCAGUAGAAUAAUUUUGUAUCAUAGGAAUAAGAGUUGAAUCCACCAAUCAGCAAGAAUAAUUAUUAAAUGAAUCAACCGUAUUGAGACAAAAAGUCUUCAGGUGUGAAACGCUUGAGACUUUCCCAAAGGCAAAAUCAUUCAAUAGAAAAAGGACUCCAGCUACAAGCAAAACAAAGGGGCAAAUGUAUAUAAAGAUAAAAGUCUGCAUUCAUUCCCAAUCUUCCUUGGAUCAACUGUAGACCACAGGGCACGCCUCAACCCCGCAAAGGAUACUCAUUUCCUUCACCUUGAUCAACAGACCCUUCACUCUUUUUCUUAUACGUCCUCCUGGCUGUGUCAUUCAUUAUCCAUUGGAGCUUGACCUUCUUCCUCCCCAUAGCCUGAUGUUUACUUGGAUCUGUCACCAAGAAUAUCAAAAUAUCUUGCUUUCCCAUUGAUUUAUGGGUCUUCUUAUAGACAUAAAAGCGCCUGUAAGAGGGGGUGCAACCCUUUGAAUGGACAAUAAAAGCUAAUCCUUGGAAAUUUUUGUUUUGGGUAUAAAUGAUCAUUAUUUCGAUUAUUUUUAUUUAUAUUUCUGGAUUGCACUCAGUGACAGGUUUUUAAGACUUAAUCCUUUACAGAUAUUGUGUUUUCUAGAUCUAAUUGAAUCUAAAGUUUUUUUUUUUCCCAAAAUUUGUUUCCUAUUUAUUAUGGUCAAGUCCAAAUUGAGUAAUACAACAUCACUUGUAAUAAAUUAAGUAAUACAACAUGCCACUACCUAUUUUUCCUUAGAUUUUAUUUUCAAACAGUAAAAAAGCAAGUUGAUACGAUCUAUUUUACCUUAAAUUUUAUUUUCGAAAACUAAAAGAAAGUUGACACGACCUAUUUUUCAUUAAAUUUUAUUUUCAAAAAUAAAAAACAAGUUGACACAACCUGUUUUUUCUUAAAUUUUAUUUUUGAAUAGCAAAAAAUAAUUUGAGAUGGACUAUUUUUCCUUAAAUUUAUUUUCAAAUAGUAAAAACCAAGUUGAUAUCAUAGUAACUUAUCCUAUUUAUCAUGCUCAAUUCCAAAGUGAGUAAUAUGACAUAACUCAUGAUAAAUUAGGUAUGAUAAAUUAGGUGAUAUAACAUGACCUAUUUUUCCUUUGAUUUUAUUUUCAUACAGUAAAAAGCCAAAUUGACAUGACUUACUUUUCUUUAUAUUUUAUUUUCAAACAGUAAAAAAACAAGUUGACAUGACCUAUUUUUUUCCAUAAAUUGUAUUUUUGAAUAGUAAAAAAAAGAAAAUUGAUGCCACCUAUUUUUUCUUAAAUUUUAUUUUUUGAAUGUUAAAAAUCAUAAUAACACGACCUAUUUUGCUUGAAAUUUAUUUUUGAAUAGUAAAAAACAAGUUGAUACCAUAGUAACCUAUCCUAUUUAUCAUGGCCAAUUCCAAAUUGAGUGAUAUGACAUCACUCAUGAUAAAUUAGGUGACACAAUAUGACACGACCUAUUUUUUUUACAUUUUAUUUUCAAACAGUAAAAAAAAUAAAUUGACAUGAUCUAUUUUUCCUUAGAUUUUAUUUUCGAAUCGUAAAAAUACAAGUUCACAUAACAUAUUUUUCCAUAAAUUUUAUUUUCAAAGAGCAAAACACAAGUUGGCACGAUAUUUUUGAACGGUUUGCAAGGACUGCCCUCUCCUACCAGUAGUAGAAUCUUAGGUCUUUAAAAAAAUUAGAGAUCUAUGACUAGCCCAAGCUCCAAUCCUUAACAUAAGAGCAACUGCCCCCCAACCUUUUUGUUUUAACAAUCCAGAAGUGCCCACUGCUAAAAGGUCAGAGCAGAAGUUUUGGACAAGGAAAGAUUAACAUCAGAUAACACAUAUUCCACACAUUGUGAUCGAUGACCAAGUUUUAUAAUGAAGGUAGCAUUACACCACUUUUUAGUCAAGUACUGGUUUUGUCCUAAAAGUAAUUUUCUCAAGAAAACUGAUAUGCUUAAAUACCAAUUUUAAUUUGAACAAUUAUAAAUAGGAAAAAAUAUGCUUUAAAUUUUCUAAUUUUUAUAAUAAUUUCUUGUUUUCUUUCAAGUUAUCAGUGAUUCUUCACUCUUAUAAAUUGAUGUUUCAUAUCUUCAUAAGAAAUCUUCUUUUAAUCAAUAAUGUCUUAUUAAAUGCUUCAUAUUAUCAAGGAGCACAAUAUGCAUAUUGAACCAAAAUCCUCCAACCUUAAACUUUUAGGAAAAUUGGUAGUUUAAUAUGGUAUCAGAACUUGGUUUUGUAGGGGGUUAUGAGUUUGAGUCAACUCUCCGCAAUUUGCAUAUUUGUUUCUCUCAUUUGUUUCUUUUCUCCCUCUUUACAAUUCUUUAGUAUCUCUCUCCCUCAAUUUGCAAUUCUAUGGUAUUUCUCCACACGAGGAAGGGUGUUAAGGAGCAUGAUAUACAUUUUGAACCCAAAUCCUCUAAACUUAGUUUUUUUAAGAAAAAUGAUAGUUCUACCAAAAAGUCAAGCAAUUUUGCAUGUCUAGUUUCAUAACUUGUGUCUCUUGUAUAACUUUAUGGACCUUGAAUUCGUAACUUGUGUUUCUUGUAUAAUUUUGUGUACCUUAAAUUCAUUUUUAUUAGCUAACUCACUGAAACCUCGUGGCAAGCCUUUGAUCCUAGUUUUCUCAACAAAUUCGAGCUAUCUAGCAGACAAUUUUUAUCAUCUAAAGACCAAUAUAUAAUUUAUAUGUUACUUGAGGAAUUAGAGAAAGCUCGACUUUGUUGGAGAGUGGAGUGGAGUAUGCAGCUUGUUCUGUGAUUCCAAUUAGUAAGACAUUUCAAUUCCUUUAUUUUAAGUUUCUAAGCUACAAACUACAAUGAUUUACAAUUUCAUAUGCAUUAUUUUUCAGGUUCUCUAUGUUAAUAUCUUAGUUCUUCUUUAGAAACAAUUGGUAUGUUUCUUUUGAUUCAUACUUUUCAUAAAGAAAAUUGUCAAAAAUUUAAUUUUCUUUCUUUUCACUUUUUCAUGUAGAAUCAAACAAGAAUAUUUUUUUUUUUUUUUACUAUGUUUGUGCUCCUUAUCUUUUUUCUUUAUGAUUUUUUUCCUUCAAACUUUUAAGAAAUAAAAAAUUAUUUGGCUUACAUUUAUAAAAUAUAGUCAUAUAGUAUAAUAUAAUAUUGUGUAGGCUCUGAGCUGAUACGAUAUUCAUAAGGCCUUAGCUCAUGGCCAAUAUGCAAGUUUAGAUUGAAUUAGAAUUUCCAAACUUUAAUAUUUUUUAGAUUGGCUUUAAAUUGAAUUGUGUUUAAAUUCCUAGUUUCAAGAGACCUAAAAUGGUGGUGAUCUUUUUGAUUCAUUGAUAUUUUUUUUUUUUUUUUUUUUUUUUUGCUUUUUUCAAUCAAGAUAGAAAGUAUAUCAAUUUUAUUAAUUAAUAAAAGAUGUUCUCUUUGCAAAGCAAAAGACAUGGCUGUGGUUGGAGAAGAAACAUAUUGAGACAACUUAAAAUAAUUUUGUUUCUAGUUGGAAUUUUGCUUUCAAAACUUAUAAAAUUGGUAAGUUAAGGGGUUAAAUUGAGAUAUGAAUUUCCGUGUAUGUUGGUUUUUCAGAAUUUAUCAUAAAAAUGAAUACAGUGAAGGAAAAGGAGAGGGAAUGAAAAAGAAGGGGGGAAAAAGAGAGUUAGGAUUGACUAGGGUUUUAGAUGAGUGUGGUGAUAAAAAUGAUGGGUUAAGUCCCCCAUUCAAAUAGAUGUAAAAUCAUAUAACAGGGGAUCAUUCUUGAUAAAGAUCAAGAAACUAACAGCUUCAACAACUCCUCAACAAACUGAUGUAUUGAUCAGUUAGAUAGUUACACCUGCAAGCAGCUAGAACUCAAUCAAGAUUUUAUUCACUGGAGAAGAUUUGAUAGAAUGAUUCGCAGCUGGAUAUAUUCAUCCCUUACUCCUGAAAUUAUGGGACAAAUAGUAGGGCACUAGACAUCUCAUGCAGCAUGGACUGCAUUAGAGAAAAUUUUCUCUGCUUCCUCAAAAGCACAGAUAAUGCAACUAAGGCUGGAGUUCAAACCACUCGGAAAAAGAUCUCUUUCCAUGAUGGAAUAUAUACUCAAGCUCAAGACACUAACCGAUAAUUUGGCUGCCAUUGGAGAACCGGUCACAGAGAGAGAUCAAGUUUUGUAGCUUCUUGGUGGUCUUGGAGCUGAAUACAGCCCCAUAGUGGCGUCUCUCACAGCUUGAGAAGAUGAAGUAUCUCUCCACUCUGUCCACAGCAUUAAUUCUGCUCACACAUGAGCAGCGCCUCCAAUUUCAAAACUCCAUCAUAGAAAAAGAAACUCUAUCCACUCAUAUUGCUUCUCACAGUCGAACUACUCAAUCAAGAACAUCCCAGAAUAACAGAAAUAAUUUUUCUCUUCACCAACAGAAUGGUUUUUCUCAUCCUUCAAGAAGAGGACACCCAGGAGGUCAUGGACAAGAACAUGUUUAGUGUAACAAUAUCCAUAUUAUGUUCAUUCAUAUCUCAAAUAUUAAAGCUAUAUUAAAACUAUUAAUAUUGUAAAUAUUAAUACUUAUUCUUAUAUAUUCUUAAAUAAGAUAUUGAUAGAUAGUGACUAAGUAUAUCCCGAACAAAUACUAUAAUAAUGUGCAAAAUAAAUAUAACAUGUGUUUAUUUUAUAGAAAAGUUUGAUUUAUAUAUAAUUUCACAUAUUUUAUAGGAUAUCUCUCAAAUCUUAUGACAAACAUCUUGAAUAUUCAUAAAGUUAAUUUCAUUAUUCAUUUAUUAUAAUAAUAAUAUUCAAUUUAUUUUUUAGUUAAUUAUAUCUUUAUUAUUUGACUUUUCUCAUUUAUGUUGAAUAUUAUAAUGAUAAUAUUAAAUUUAUUUUUUAAUUACUUAACUAUAACUAAUAUGAUUAUCACUUAUGUUGAUUGCUGAAAAGUUAAAUUGUAAUUAAACAGUAAAAAGUUAAACAGGGGCUUCCCACCUCUAUUUCUUUUCUAAAAAUGAGCUACUAUCUCCUGGUGAAACAUCAAUACCAAUUCUGGAAAGGGGAAGAUUUGCAGCAUAUAGCUCACAUUCCACGCAUUGUGGUGGACGAUCAACAAGGUUCUUAUAAUGUGCUAUAAAUGAUUUUCUUCAAAAGGCAGUAAUUUGUGAUCAAAACUUUUUAUAUCAGCUUUGCCUUAAGGAAUUGUGAAUCAAUCCGAUCUACUCAUACCGCAACUCUAUAAAUUUUCUUCCCUGUUACUUUGUGUAAGGUUAUGUUUGGUUUCCGGAAAGUAUUAAGGAAGGAAAAAAAAAUGCUAAUAGCCCAAAGGAGAAGUAUAAUAAAGAUCGGGGCAUUAAUGGAUGAGAUUGCCUGAUCAAGCGGGCCUAAUCGGGGCCCUUAACAUAUGGGCUUGGACAGCACUAAUUCUGGUCGGAAUAGGCAGGCUUAGGUUGGUGGGAAGAGUCUUGUCCCAGUGGAAGGGCCAAUGCUAGGUAGCCUGGCCCGAAGCUUGUUUUUCCUUUCUUUUUUUUCGUCUCGGUCGGAAGCUUCUCUUUUUUAAGAAUGGGUUCCACAAUUAACACUGCCUAUCCACUAGGUGUGCUAAAUGGUCAGCCGGCCUUAUCAGGAAUCUUGCAUAUUAUACUCAAAUUGUCGCAACUUGAAUGAAGGGACAACCCCAAAGGUCUUAUCCUUUCAAUGUUUUACAUAUCAGAUAGGUGAUUUUGUUAAAAUAUAUUAUAUAUUAUAGACUAUUGAAGGGCAGGCUUAAUCCCUACCACUCAUAUUUACACAUUCAGAAAAACAAAAAUCAAUGAUUCUGCAAUUUUGUUUUUGGCAGCCAAAUUGCUAGUCACAUGACUGAGAAUUCUUUGUCACUAGUUAAUAUUUUUUCUUCUUUACUGGCCCUUGUGUUUGGUUAAGAAUAGGGAAGUUGCAGUGCGUUUCAUAUCAUAAACCGAAAUUCUACAGUUUGGUUUGCAUCUGCUUAAGUAUUUGUUUACCAUAUGUUCAAUAAUGUGGACAUACCUGUAGGUGGAAAAUAUUCUUAUUUGUUUAUGUGGACAUUUGGACUAUUAAUAGACUAACUGACAGGCCAUGUUCAUCCGCCUCUUUAUUGUAUCUAGGGGCCGCCCUAUUUGGUGACAAGGUUCUUCGUUGUUGACCAAAACUAGUCUGCUUGAUUUGCAUCUGCUUUCAUUCAUUUUUCUUUGAUCCAGUAUUCACUUCCCUUGCAAACCAACAGACAUGGCCGGGGCUAUAGUAGGAGGAGCAUUUCUCUCCGCUUCUAUCCAAGUUCUACUUGACCGAAUGGCUUCUCGCGAGGUCCUCACCUUCCUCCGGGGACAGAAACUCAGUGCUACGCUCCUAAGGAAGUUGAAGAUAAAAUUGCUGGCAGUUCAGGCAGUGCUCGAUGACGCUGAGGCCAAGCAAUUCACAAAAUCAGCUGUAAAAGAUUGGCUGGAUGACCUGAAAGAUGCUGUGUAUGAUGCAGAGGACCUGUUGGAUGAGAUAACCACCGAAGCUCUUCGCUGCAAAAUGGAGUCUGAUGCUCAAACCAGCGCAACUCAGGUAAGUGACAUCACCUCUGCCUCGCUUAAUCCGUUUGGUGAGGGGAUCGAGUCCAGGGUAGAGGAGAUCACUGACAAACUAGAGUAUCUUGCACAAGAAAAAGAUGUUCUGGGAUUGAAAGAAGGCGUUGGAGAAAAAUUGUCACAAAGAUGGCCCACGACUUCCUUGGUAGAUGAGUCUGGGGAGGUGUACGGAAGGGAAGGUAAUAUACAGGAGAUAGUUGAAUAUUUAUUGUCCCAUAAUGCAAGUGGGAAUAAGAUAAGUGUGAUCGCCCUGGUGGGUAUGGGCGGUAUUGGAAAGACCAUACUUACUCAACUGGUGUAUAAUGAUAGGAGGGUGGUGGAAUGUUUUGAUCUUAAAGCUUGGGUUUGUGUUUCCGAUGAAUUUGAUCUUGUCCGGAUAACGAAAACCAUUCUUAAGGCAAUCGAUUCUGGGGCUUCUGAAAAAUAUUCUGAUGAUAGUGAUUUGAAUCUGCUUCAACUUAAAGUGAAGGAGAGACUUAGUAAGAAGAAAUUCUUUCUUGUCCUUGAUGAUGUUUGGAAUGAAAACUAUACUAAUUGGCAUAUGCUACAAACUCCAUUCACCGUUGGUCUAAAUGGAAGUAAGAUUAUUGUAACUACACGUAGUGAUAAGGUUGCAUUGAUCAUGCGUUCAGUUCGUAUUCAUCAUUUGGGACAGUUAUCCUUUGAGGAUUGCUGGUCGCUAUUUGCAAAACAUGCAUUUGCAAAUGGAGAUUCUAGUCUACAUCCAGAACUAGAAGAAAUUGGCAAAGGGAUUGUAAAGAAGUGUAAAGGAUUGCCUUUGGCUGCAAAGACCCUAGGGGGUGCCUUAUACUCAGAGUUACGAGUAAAAGAAUGGGAAUUUGUAUUGAACAGCGAAACGUGGGAUUUACCGAAUGAUGAAAUUCUCCCCGCCUUAAGGUUAAGCUAUUCUUUUCUUCCUUCACAUUUAAAGCGGUGUUUUGCAUAUUGCUCAAUUUUUCCUAAGGACUAUGAAUUUGAAAAGGAAAAUUUGAUUCUAUUGUGGAUGGCAGAAGGCUUUUUGCAACAAUUUGAAAGCAAGAAAACAAUGGAAGAAGUAGGUGAUGGGUACUUUUGUGACCUAUUAUCAAGGUCAUUUUUUCAGAAGUCCAAUAGUCGGAAAUCAUAUUUUGUAAUGCAUGAUCUCAUUAACGACUUGGCUCAACUUGUUUCUGGAAAAUUUUGUGUUCAAUUGAAGGAUGGUAAUAUGAAUGGAAGUCUUGACAAGCUCCGCCAUUUAUCAUAUUUUAGAAGUGAAUAUGACCGGUUUGAGAGAUUUGAGACCCUGAAUGAAGUUAAUGGUCUUCGUACCUUCUUUCCUUUGAAUUUGAGAACUUGGCCUCGAUCGGACAAGGCUUCAAAAAAGAGAAAUCUAAAUGCUGCUAAGUAUGUUGUAGAUUUUCGGUUGAGUAAUAGAGUUUGGACCGGUUUAUUAUUGAAACUUCAAUAUUUACGAGUAUUAUCAUUGUGCUACUAUAAGAUAACGGAUUUGUCUGAUUCAAUUGGUAAUUUAAAACAUUUGCGCUAUUUGGACCUUACUUUUACACUCAUCAAAAGGUUACCGGAGUCCGUUUGUAGUUUGUAUAAUUUACAAACAUUGAUAUUAUAUCAUUGUGAAUGUCUUGUUCAAUUGCCUAAAAUGAUGUGCAAAAUGAUUAGCUUACGUCAUCUUGAUAUCAGGCAUAGCAAAGUGAAAGAGAUGCCAAGUCACAUGGGUCAAUUAAAAAGUUUACAAAAAUUGAGUAACUACAUAGUGGGCAAGCAAAGUGGGACAAGGGUUGGAGAGUUGAAGGAGCUUUCGCACAUUGGUGGCAGUCUUGUCAUUCAAGAGCUGCAGAAUGUGGUUCAUGCUAAGGAUGCCUCAGAGGCCAAUUUCGUAGCUAGGCAAGCAAUAUCUGGAUGAGCUAGUGUUCGAAUGGAAUCGUGGUAGUGAUGUUGAACAAAAUGGAGCAGAGAUAGUGCUCAACAACUUACAAACUCAUUCAAACUUAAAGAGACUCACUAUUUAUGGUUACGGUGGUUCAAGAUUUCCAGAUUGGUUAGGAGGUCCUUCAAUUCUGAAUAUGGUGUCGCUACGUCUCUGGAAUUGUAAGAAUGUGUCAACCUGCCCACCGCUUGGGCAGCUACCCUCUCUUAAACAUUUAUAUAUAUUGGGGUUGGAGGAGAUAGAAAGGGUGGGCGCUGAGUUUUAUGGGACUGAGCCCUCCUUCGUGUCCCUAAAAGCUCUAUCAUUUCAGGGUAUGCCAAAAUGGAAGGAAUGGUUGUGCAUGGGAGGCCAAGGAGGAGAAUUCCCUAGUCUCAAGAAGCUUUAUAUAGAGGAUUGUCCCAAGCUAAGGGGGGAAUUACCAACCCAUUUGCCUUUUUUGACCACAAUAAGGAUUCAAGAAUGUGAGCAGUAUGUGGCUCCACUUACAGGGGUUCCAACCAUNNNNNNNNNNNNNNNNNNNNNNNNNNNNNNNNNNNNNNNNNNNNNNNNNNNNNNNNNNNNNNNNNNNNNNNNNNNNNNNNNNNNNNNNNNNNNNNNNNNNUAAAAGCUCUAUCAUUUUCAGGGUAUGCCAAAAUGGAAGGAAUGGUUGUGCAUGGGAGGCCAAGGUGGAGAAUUCCCUCGUCUCAAGAAGCUUUAUAUAGAGGAUUGUCCCAAGCUAAUUGGGGACUUACCAACCCAUCUGCCUUUCUUGACCACACUACGGAUUCAAGAAUGUGAGCAGCUUGUGGCUCCACUUCCAGGGGUUCCAACCAUCUUUGAAUUGACAACGCGCAGCCGUGACAUCUCACAGUGGAAGGAACUACCACCACUACUGCAGUAUCUCUCAAUUAAAAAUUCCGACUCUUUGGAGUCCCUACUGGAGGAGGGAAUGUUGCAAAGUAAUACUUGUCUUCGAGAGUUGAGAAUCAGAAAUUGUUCUUUUUCGAGACCCUUGUGCAGAGUUUGUUUGCCCAUUACAUUGAAGACGUUAGAUGUAGAGGAGUGUAAGAAACUAGAGUUUCUCCUACCUGAGUUCAUAAAAUGUCACCACCCUUCCCUUGUCUCUUUGGUGAUCAUCAGAAGUACUUGCAAUUCUCUCUCAUCCUUCCCACUCGGCAACUUCCCAAGUUUAACUAAUCUCCAAAUCAUGUAUCUCAAGGGGCUUGAAUCCCUCUCCAUUUCAAUUUCAGAGGGCGAUGUUACAUCUUUUCAUCUGUUGCACAUAAGAGGGUGCCCUAAUCUUGUUUCUAUUGAAUUGCCAGCUCUCAACUUCUCAAAAUAUUACAUCUUCCAUUGCAAGAAUCUCAAGUGGCUGCUGCACAACGCUGCAUGCUUUCAGUCAUUAACAAUAGAAGGUUGUCCUGAAUUGAUAUUCCCAAUACAAGGUCUGCAAGGACUGUCCUCUCUUACCUCUCUCAAAAUCUCCGAUCUUCCAAAUCUCAUGUCCCUUGACAGUUUGGAGCUUCAACUGCUCGCCUCUCUUGAAAAAUUAGAGAUCUGUGACUGCCCCAAGCUCCAAUUCUUGACAGAAGAGCAGCUUCCCACCAACCUUUCUGUUCUAACAAUCCAGAACUGCCCGUUGCUGAAAGAUCGGUGCAAGUUUUGGACAGGGGAAGAUUGGCAUCAUAUAGCUCACAUUCCACACAUUGUGAUCGAUGACCAAGUUUUGUAAUGAAGGUGGCAUUACACCAAUUUAUAGUCAGGUACUUGUUCUGUCCUAAAAAUGAUUGUCUCAGGAAAACUAACAUACUUAAAUACCAAUUUUGAUUUGAUCCAUUAUAAAUAGGAAAAAUAUGCUUUAAAUUUUCUAAUUAUUAUAACAAUUUCUUGCUUUCUUUCAGGUCAUCUGUGAUGCUUCACUCUGGCUCUGAUCAACAUAUCUUUAUAAGGAAUCUUUUAAGACUCCCUUGCUUAAUUAGUGCCUUGUCAAAAGCUUCAGAUUUCCUUUAGAGUGAAUCGAUGCUUAAAAGCCAAGCAGCUCUGCAGGUCUGAUUUAUUAAAUUGUGUUUCUUGUAUAAUUUUAUGGACCUUGAGUUUGUUUUCAUUGGCUAAUUUGCUGAAAUCUGAUGGCAGGCCUUUGAUCCUUGUUCUCUCAACAAACUCUAGCUGUCUAGCAAUGAUUUCCAAUGGGACCAUUUUUUUGUUGUGAGUUCAGGUUCAUGACUCUCUUUUUGGACAACAGUAGCCGAGAUUUUUUGCACCCAGAGAAUCAUGAGUUGAUCCUCUGCUGGAGGAACUACAGAAGCUCAAGUCUGUUGGAGAGUGGAGCAUCCAGCAGGCUCUAUGAUUCCAAUUAGUGGGACAUUUCAAUUGCUUUGGUUUAACUUUUUAGUGAAGUACCAGUUCUGUCCUAAAAGUAAUUUUCUCAGGAAAACUAACAUACUUAAAUACCAAUGUUAAUUUGAUCCAUCAUAAGUCAGAAAAAUAUGGUGUAAAUUUUCUAAUUAUUAUAAUAAUUUCUUGCUUCUUUCAGUUUAUCAGUAACUCUUCACUCUAGUAAAUUGAUGCUUCAUAUCUCCAUAAGGAAUCUUCAUAAAGAUUGUAUUUUUUAGCAUCCAAAGACUCAUGAUUGAUACUCUGCUUGAGGAACUGAGAAAGCUCAACUCUGUUGGAGAGUGGAGCAUGCGGCGUGCUCUAUGAUUCCAAUUAGCAAGAUAUUUUAAUUGCUUUUGUUCAACUUUCUAAGCUACAAAUUAUAAAGAUUUAUAAUCCCAUAUGCAUUAUUUUUCAGGCUUUCUAUGUUAAUAUCUUAGUUCUUCUCUAGGAAAAACAGGUAUGUUUCUUCUGUGUUAGUACUUUUCAUAAGAUGACACAUUGUGGAGUUCCAUCAUAUGCAUGACAAGAUAAACCCAAUUCUAAAAUAAACUUAAGCUAAAACAAAAUAUCUUACUACCUGAGGUUCUGUCCUUAAUAAUUCUAUUCAUCAUGUUCAUAUGCAAUCUGAGUGACGUAAAUGUUAAACAUUUUCCUUUGUGUAAUCAUUGUUUUAGAUUCAAUUAAUCUGCAGAUGUACGUUCAGUUUAGACACCUCAAACUCAAAAUCUUCAACUUCUGACAGGCCACCACUUCCUAGUCUCUGCUCAUCUCCUUCCCAUUUAGUUAUUUUCAUUAACCUUUGAUUUUUUUACAUCGUUAAUAGUAAAACAAUCAUGAUUGUACUACAUCUGUUGAGCAUAGAUGCUACCAUUUAAUUUCCAUAUUCAAGUUUUCAUUUACUUUAAUGUGAGCUCUGAAUUUUCUUCUUUUAAAUUUUUGAUUCUGAGGCAGAUUCUUGGAGAAGAGAGAAGCCAAACCAUAUUCAAAGUCAUAGCACUGCAGAGUAUGGUUUUGAUCCACCAAGUCCAGGUCAAUUGAGUGGAAUCUUAUUAAUACUUAAAGGACACAUUUUCCGAACUUGAUGACUGCCUCUAACCAUGCACUAACUAUUUUUUUGUAUCGACUUUCUGUUAAGAAAUUGUGAAUGCAUUGGAUCUACUCAUACGACCUCCCUCCAUCAUGAAUUUUAACAACUCAGUACUUGGAGGAUGGCUACUCAACUAAAUUCUAUUUAUUGGAGCAGAAUUUGAGCUUUUCUUCCUUACUCAGGUAGAGUGCUAUAAAAUUUUCAGUCUAAAAAGUAUCUAUAACCCCCUAUGAAUUUGAAUGUCAGAUUCAGCUGAUUAGCAUGUGACCAUUUUUAUUUUCAGAUGGUGGCAUUUUGAAUCUUUGGAACAGUUGCAGGAGGAAGCUUUGCCAAAGCCUCCCUAUGCAAUACAUGGGCCUUUGGUUGCAAGUGAGAUUUGAGGAUUCUAUUUUCUCUUGUAAGACUUCAACUCAUUUUUUUUGAGUUUUGAGCUUUGAGCUUUUACUUCCAAGCAUGUGCAAAGAAGAAAGAACGCAAAAACAAACGUCCACUUAUAGAAGUUUUAUAUGGAGUGAGACUCCCAUGAAAAAUAUUGUACCUAUUGGUUUGUCAACCUUGAAUGUUAUAGUUUUGUUUCCCAUUGGAUCUUUGAGGAAUGCGUCCGUUGAAUCAUAUAUUUUGAACUUACUACUGAUUUUGUGUAUAUACAUGCAUGUAAAUGAUGUUUUCUUCUUCAUUCAUGUGGAAUUUGAUUCUCUGGUGUAUGGUGAAAAGUUGUAAGUUUGAUCUAGGGUUUUACUUGAAGUGAGGUUAGAUAUACCCUUUUUCUACAUUUUGGUAUAUAGAAGAGUUUACAUCAUAGGCAAAUCACUUCCAAUCCAACCUUUUUCUAACAUUUCUGAUUCCUUUUAUCCUCCUAAAGGUGAUUUUGGUGCAAGUUGGGCUUUUGGGUUAAUUUAAUAGUUUAACUUCUAUUAGAGUCCUUGUUUUCAAGAUUUAAGGAGCAUUAGGUGGCUCAUGAUGAAUGGAUGGAUUCAACUUCCUUUUAAUGUUUGAACCUAUACCCAAGGGAAACUCUCAGACAAAUGAAAAAAAAGAAGAAGGUAUAUAUUUUUAGUAGUAUUUUUAUAGUAUUUAUUUAACAGAAUUUUAUUUUAUUUUUAUUUUUGGGAAAACAAUGCACAUAGAAAUUCACUUCAAAUGAUUCUUUGAAUUUUUUAAAGUAAUUUUAUUAAUUUUUUAAAAAAAUUCAAAUUAACUUUAAAAAGAAUUUCAAAAAGCGUUUUGAAUCUUACUGAAACCUAUUUUCAAUGGGUUUAGAUAUAAUUUUUGGAUAUUAUUUUUGGACGAUAUUUGAUUAAUCAAAAUAAUAGUUUUUGAAAGAAAUAUCUAUCAAUUUUAGUCCAAUAAUUGUUUUGACUAAUUGGACUUUUAAAAGUGAUUUUUAGGAUUUUAUAGAGUAAUAAUUUUUAAAAAGAAAGCAAUUUUAAAAUUUAAAAAAAAUGCUUUUAAGAGUCCACUUGGUAAUGUUUUAGAAAACAAUUCUCAUAAAAAGGUUUUUCAGAAUCGGUUUUAAAAACAAGUCCAAUCAUUUCUAUAAUAAAAUAGUUUUCUUAAUUCAUAAACAUAAAAAGUUCUUAUUUUCUAUAUUUUAGAUUGAUGCAAAGUACACUCCAUACUAUUUUUAAAAAUCAUCAAAUUUAUGACUUUAUUUUUAAAAAAUUGUUUCUCAAGAACAACAACUCUUACAAAUUGAUUCACAUCUUCAUAAAAAAUCUUCUUUUAAUCAAUAAUGCCUUAUCGAAUGCUUCAAAUUUCUAAAAUCCCUAUAAUCAUGUACAUAUGUAACCCAUAUCUAAUUCGUGGAUUCAUUGUGCUUAAUCUAGCUUUACAUAACCAAUGGGCAUGCUCGAAUUCCACUCAUUUGCCACUUUCAUUGUUAAUUAGUAAAUGAUUACAUUCAAUGACAAUAAUCUAAUUUAAUCCACCCUUUCAUGCUAUUCUAAGAUUUCAUCCCCAUUCAUGGAUAGUGAAAAAAAAUAAAGGGUGUUCCUUUUUAAUGUAACAACCUAAUAUUAACAAGCAUUUAGACAUUUUGCUCUCAACAAUGCCAAGAUAUACUAACCCAUUAAUGGUCUAAAAUCAACUUAACAAUUCUCCAAAUGUAAGCAACCAUAAAUCACUCAUUCUAAAAGAUGUUAAAGGAGAAAAAUCAAAAGUGAUUGUUGGUUUAUAAUGUUGGUCCAAUUGAGUUAAAACUCUCAAGGCCUCAACUCAUGCCAAAUAUGCAAAUAGAGAUGGAAUUAAUUAGGAUGUCUCAGCUUCCUUUUUUUUUUUUUGUUGUUGGAUUUAUAUUGGAUGGUGGUAAUUCUAUUUAUCUAUUAAUAAAAAGUUUUCCUUUUUAAUCUAUACUAAAAAAACAUUAAGUUUAUUAAUCUAUAGCAUUAUAAAAGUUUGAAGAAUCUUUAGUGUAAUAAUAUCCAUAUUAUGUUUAUUCAUAUAUUGAAUAUUAAAGCUAUAUUAAAACUAUUAACAUUGAAAAUAUAUAAAUUAGUUUUUAUAUACACAAUACUUGUUCAUAUAUAUUAUAAGAUACUGAUAGAUGGUGACUAAGUAUAUCCCAAACAAUUGCUAUAAUAAUGUGCAAAUUCAUAUAGCAUAUGUUUAUUUUAUAGAAAAUUUUGAUUUAUAUAUAAUUUCACAUAUUUUAUGGGAUAUUUCUCACAUCUUAUGUGCAAUCAUAUUGAAUACUCAUAAAGCUAAUUUCAUUAUUCAUUUAUUACAAUGGUAAUAUUCAAUUUGUUUUUUAGUUAUUUAUUUAUUAUUUGAUUUUUCUCAUUUAUGUUGAAUAUUGUAAUGAUAAUAUUAAAUUCAUUUUUUAAUUACAUAACUGUAACUAAUAUGAUUAUCACUUAUGUUGAUUGCUGAAAAGUUAAAUUGUAGAUGUUAUGAUUCAUUAUUUAUGUUGAAUGCGAAUUCAACAGUUAAAUGUUAAAGAGGGACUUCCCACCUCUAUUUCUUUUCUAAAAAUGAGUGACUGUCUCCUGCUGAAACAUCAAUUCCAAUUCUGGAAAGAGGAAGAAUAGCAGCAUAUAGCUCACAUUCCUCACAGUGUGGCAUAAAUGAUUUUCUUCAAAAGGCAGUAAGUUGUGAUUGAAACUUUCUAGUCAUAUUGUUUUGUUCCAACUUAGUACAUGCUUUAUCACUCUGGGUUUUAAUUCUUCAGCAAUACUUUCUGUUAUCAUGACUGCCUCUAAUUAACCAUAAACUAACUAUUUUUUAUAUCGACUUUGCCUUAAGGAAUUGUGAAUUGAUUGGAUCUACUCAUACUGCUGCCCUAUAAAUUUUCUUCCCUGCUAAAUUUAUGUAGUUAAUAGUUUUGGUAUAGUGCUACAAAAUUUUUAGGGUUUACAAAGUAUUGGUAACAUGUUUUCUCUUUUUAAGUAUGUUUUGGUCUUAAAAGAAAACAUAAAUUUGUCUUGUAAGUGAUGUUUGACUCUCAAAUUUUUUUGAUUACCAUGUGCCCAUUUUUAUUUUCAGGUUGACAUUUUGAAUCUUUGGAGUAGUCCAUUCAAAUCAUUUUUGUGAUCACUUCUUCCAAGAUUUUGCAUUAUAAAAGUUGGUUGAUGUAAAGUGAGAAGAAAGAAUUAAGGUAGCAACUUUUCUUUAAAAAUAAGAAAGUACAUUAAUGUCCUAAUUAAGUUUUAUACUAGAGUGGGACUCCUAUGAAUGGUUAAAUUGCAUAGAAUUCAAUUUAUUUAUGUCUAUCAAUCUUUGUUUAAUUUCUAUGGAAAAUAUUAAUAGAAUGAACUAUUUCAUAUUUUGGUAUAAUUUAAGCCUGAUUGAUACUACUUAAAAAUGUUAAAAGGAUUAAAUUGAGAUAUGAAUUACAGUACCUAUUGAUUUUUUUAUAAUUUACCAAUAAAAUUAAAUAGCAAAGGCAAAUGAGGAGAAAGAGAAUUAGUACUAGGGUUUUAAAUAAGUGUGGUGAUGAAGAUGACGGGCUAAGCCCUUCAUCCAACCUAUGAGGGCUAGCUGAAGUUCUUUAAGUCCUUUUAUGGGUUUUUUUUUUUUUGAAAUCUAAAUAGUAACUUAAUCAUUUAAAGCCAAGUCAUAAGUUUGCUAUGAGUGAAUUGAAUUUCCCUCAUUAAACUUUCUUUGUAUUUGAGGUUGAUAUUAUAUGGUUAUGAUAAUUUUGUUUUUGUUGACAUGCAAUAGAGUUUGCUCCUCCUUUGUAUUUACAAGCUGCUCAAUUUUCAUUUUUAUUUUAUUUACCAAUAACAACUUAAAGCUUGUGGAAAAUUAGGUUGACAACAUAUCAAGUUGGCUUACAUUGGAAUGAGGCUUUUGGAUUUUAUUAUUUAAUAAUCUCGCAUGUAUGCACUAAGAGUUUGUCUUACAGUUAUACUUUUUAAAUAAGAAUAAAAAUUUUCAAGUAUUGAAAAGGUUAAAAACAUUUUUUAAAAUCAUUAUCAAAUACACUAUUAAGUCUAAUAAAAUCAGUAUAACUCAUAGUAUGUUUAGAUGAAUAUGUGAGAAUAAGAACCCUUUUAAUAUUUGAAAGUAUUUAUUUCCCAUAAAAAUUAGUUAUUUUGUAAAAAAAUUAAUCAUUAUUUUUAAAAAUCUAAAAAAAUCAUUUAAGUAAUUUUGAAACUAGUAACUAAUAGAUGCCUUUUUUAAUUAUUUUUAUUAUGUAAUAUAUCACCAAAAAUACUAUCAAGUCACCUAUUGGGUUUAUAUCUAGACCUUAAUUUGACUAAAUGGAAAUAGAUCUUAAUAUUAUUAAAUAUCAAUUUGUUUUUAUUAUUGAAGUGUUAAUUUUUUUCUCAUGAUUUGUUACUAUUGCUAUGAGUUAAAUGAAGAAUCUUUAUCCUUAAAAAAUAAUUUAUUUUAUUUUACUUAUUUUAAAUAAUUUUGAUAAAGAUAUUUCAAAACUAAUAAUUUAAAAAAUAUUAAUUUGAUAUAUUUAGGAACAACCUUAAAUAUUAAAAAAAAUUAUAAUAUGAUUUUAUCUCAUUCAGAUAAGAUAUUUGAAACUUAAUAAUUUGAUAAAAAGAUAGUAAUUUAAUAUAGCUUUUAAUAUCAUAAAGCACCAAAACAGAUUGCAAUAACCAAAAGUUUAGGGAAAAGUGAGUCUUAAUUUACUAAUUUGAAAAAAUAUAAACAAAAGCAUUCCAACUUUUAUAAAUUAAUUUUAUCUUCACUCAUCUAAAAAUAUUUUAAAAUACACACAAUUUUUCUUAACUGAAAAAAUUAUUUAUUGAAAUAACUCUUUUACUUGUGAUGUUAAUAACACCAAUUAACAAUUUUUUUUACCGUGAGAACUGAUUUGAGAUUAAUAAAAUAAGAAAUUUUAAAAAUUAAAACUAAAAAGAACUUUAAAACUAAAAAUAUAAAAAUAAAAUAUUAAUUUUUACUUAGUUAAAACACUAUGGUAGAAAACAUAGAUAUCGAGAAAGUGUUGAGUAAAUAUUUUUUUUUUAGUUUUUAAGUUUUUUUUAAUUAUAUUUAAUUUUUAUGUAUUUUAGUUGUAAUUGUAAUUUUAAUUUUAAAAUUUUUUAUUUUAUUGUUGAUGUCAACUAACAAAAUUUUUAUUCAAUUUUAUUAAAAAUAUAAAAGAAGAUGAGGGGAUUUAUAUAAUAUAGGAUAUAAAAUCAUCAUUAAUUAAUAUAAUAAAGUAAAAUGAUGUUUCAUGAAAUAAUUAUUUGACUUACAAAAAAGUGGAAAUAUUUUUAAAUUGAUGAAGAUAAAACCAAUUUAUAAAAAUUGAGUUUUUUUUUCUAUUUUCUUUCAAAUUAGUGAGUCAAAACCUAUUUUUUUUCAUCAAAUUAUAUGAAAUUAUAAUUUGAUUUAUUUUUAAGUAAAUUUUUAAAAAAAAAGUAGAUUGGAUUUUAUUUAGGUGACUAUUGUAAAGUUAAAAGAAAAACAACAUUUUUCAUUGACGAAAAAAUAAGAAAAUAAAAAUUCAACUUUUUUAUUAACACAAACUUGUUUUAAAAUAAUUAAUAAUUAGGGGGGGGAAAAAGGUGGGGCGCUAGUUAAUUCUUGUAAAAGCAUUUCUAAGAAGUAAUAAAAGACUAGAGAUUGAAUACACUUUUAUUUUAAUCACUUGCAAACAAGCCCUUAAUUAAUAAACAACAAAUAUGAUAAAAUAUCAUUUGAGAUCAUAUUUAUUUAAUAUUAAAAUUUCAUGACAUGCUUCCUAACAUUGUGUAAUUUGGUUGUAAUUCAUUUUUCCCAUGCGAUUUUAAGCCUCUUUUUUAUCUUUAUAAAAUUUUAUGAGCAAACAUAAAAUAUGACAGUCACUUAGAAAGCCUUAAGGUUGUUUGAUUUUCAAAAAAUUUGAAUGAAAAGUAGAAGGGAAAAGUAGAAAAAAAAAAAAAAAAAAGUGAAAGAAAAUAAAACUUAUAUAUAGAGUCAAUAAAUUAUUUGUUAUGUUCUAUUUUAAACCCAUUUAAUUUAUUUUAACCUUUAUAUAUAAAGAUUGAAUAAAAAUAUAAGUUUCUAUCUAAUUUUAUUUUUAUUUAUUUAUUUUUAUAUUUUUCUUAGUAAAAUCGAAUAUGAGAAAAUCAUUUUUUUUAUCAUUAUUAAGUGGAUUUAGAGAAUUGGAAAUUUCAUAAACAAUGAACUAUGAUCCUAAGGUUCUUUUAACUUUUUCUUAACUAGACAAUACUCUUACUGAAAUAUGUAAUUUUUUUUAAAAUGAAAGACUAAGCAAACAAAGUUAAAUUUAGUUGAAACUUGAGUUAAAGAGUUUGUUGAUAAGUCUUGAAACCUUAAAAAUUAAUUUCUAAGUGAAAUGGUCAUUAAAAAACCAUCAAUUAAGCCUUAACCUAAACUGGUUCCAAAUUUGCCUAAACAAAAUGUUGUAAUACUACUCACUUUCUCAAGUUUUCUUAUUAAUUAAGUUCCAAAAAUUAUGAAACUCUCAAGAUUUAAUAUAUAAUAAGUUUAGAAACUUUAAAAAUGAGUUAUAAACCUAAAAAAAAUUCUAAUAACACCAAAACUUUAAAAAUUAAAAACUGUUUCAAAUUAAAUGUGUAUAAGGUUGAUGUAUAUUUUCUUAUUUAUUUGUAAGGCAGGGAUCAAUUGCAACCCAUAAGAUAUGGGUAGGUAGAAAAUGAAUUCAUCUGUACAUUUGGCAUUAGUUGAUAGGCCACCUUCUUCAUCUACCUCUUUCUUCUAUCCAAGGCCCAGGCUCUUCCCUUACAAACCAACAGACAUGGCCGGGGCUGUAGCAGGAGGGGGAGCACUUCUCUUGGCUUCUCUCCAAGUUCUAUUUGAUCGGAUGGCUUCUCGCGACGUCCUCACCUUCCUCCAGGGACAGAAACUCAGUGCUACGCUCCUAAGGAAGCUGCAGAUGAAAUUGCUGGAAGUUCAGGCAGUGCUGAAUGACGCCGAGGCCAAGCAAAUCACGAAUUUAGCUGUCAAAGAUUGGGUCGAUGAGCUGAAAGAUUCUGUGUAUGAUGCGGAGGACCUGGUGAAUGAUAUCACCACUGAAGCUUUACGACGCAAGAUGGAGUCUGAUUCUCAAACUCAGGUACGGAACAUCAUCUUUGGUGAGGGGAUUGAGUCCAGGGUAGAGGAGAUCACUGACACAUUAGAAUAUCUUGCAGAAAAAAAAAGAUGUUCUCGGGUUGAAAAGAGGCGUUGGAGAAAAAUUGUCACAAAGAUGGCCGACAACUUCCUUGGUAGAUGAGUCUGGGGUGUGCGGUAGGGAUGGUGAUAAAGAGGAGAUAGUUAAAUUUUUGUUGUCCCAUAAUGCAAGUGGGAAUAAGAUAAGUGUGAUCGCC
rnacentral:lncRNA from 1 species